UGAAAAGUCAUCAAAAGGCUUAUUUGAGAACUAUUACAUCAAAGUUUCAAACUCUAGUUGACCUUUCAGUGAUAGAGAUCUUGUCAAGGCAUGCUUCUGAUGAGGUCUACCUUGGCCAAAGGGACAACCCACAUUGGACCUCUGACUCAAAAGCAUUACAAGCCUUUCAAAAAUUUGGAAACAAGCUCAAAGAAAUUGAGGAAAAACUUGCAAGGAAGAACAAUGAUCAAAGUCUCUCCAAUCGACUUGGGCCGGUUCAACUGCCAUACACUUUGCUCCAUCCUAACAGUGAGGAAGGGUUGACUUGCAGGGGGAUUCCUAAUAGCAUCUCUAUCUAAGGGAGCAUGUGGUCUACUUUAAUUACAGUACUGUACCUACCUUCCAAUAAAAAAGAUGCAAGGCUAGAGAUCCAAUAAAUCUUGCAUCCUAUCUAAUGUUUCAAUUAUCUUGUGUUUUAAUGCUGUAAUGGAGCCUACAAUUUGCAAAUUAAUUAAGAGCACCGAGCACUAUUAGUUUGCGUUUAGCUUCUGUCAUGUUUAUUAAGAUAUAUUUCGCAGAUUGUAACACAAAAUUUUGUGGCAAAACAAGCUUUUUUUUUUCUUAUUGAAAAUAAUUGUACUUUGAUAAUAGAAAAUUCAGCAAAUUAGGCCUUAAAAAUAAUUAUUUAGCAGUUAUUUGCGCUUAAUUGUUAAAGAAUUGAUAUUUCGUGAAUUUUGAUUGCAGAUAUAAAAAUUAGAGGUGUUAAAAGCAAAUAGAAGGAAAUAAUUAGAAAGGCUCAACUCAUUCUCUCGCGUAGCGUGUAGCGCGUGCUAAACGAGACGUUAAGCACGAGAGUCAGAAUCCGUUACUCGCGCACAGCGCACAGCACAGACUAAGUGGACAAAACUGACACAGAACACGCUAAGCGAGAGGAGCUCGCUAAGCACAAGAUCUGAAUGCGCUAAGCGAUGGGUAUCGCGCUGAACGAGCCUAUGAAAAUCCAAAACCCACUCCAGCAACUGUAAAUAGAGAGCUCAGUCAAGGAAAACGACACAAUGAGUCUCAGAGUACUCCUAUCACUACCUUAAGCCUGAAAAUUCCUCCUCUCUUCUCUCUAUCAAUUGUAUUCAUUCUUUCUUCCAUCCCUCUCAUUGUAAGUCCCUCAAUGAUCAUGAGUGGCUAAUCCCCUGGUUAGGGUCAGGCAGGCCUAAAAAGUCAAACGAUGUAUGGUGAACUUCAGAUUUAUCAAUGCAAGAGGAUCCCUUUUCAGGUUUUUCUGUUCUAUUUUCUUUUUUAUUUUAUCUUGCAUUCUCAUCUUUAUUUUCUUUUGGGGGUUAGUUACUCGGGAGAGGAUAACUUCUAAUAAGAUCUAAAGAAAAGAUGCAUGCAUUAGUUUUAGGAGUUAGUCUCUCGGGAAAGGAUAAUCUCUAAUAGAACAUUAAAGAGAAGAAAUCAUAAGGUAAUCAUUGCUAGGCAUAGAAUGGUAACUUUAUGCUCAUGCAUUCAACAAACAUCUAAAAUUUAUUAUUCAUGCAUUUUAUUUAUUGAGUCUUUUCAAAAGCAUUUAGGAGAUAGGUAAAUAAAAUAGGUUUGUCAUCGUGAGGCAUCAAGGGUAAGUAACUAGAUAGAUGUGGAUAAAACAUAUCCGAUUAAUUUAAUAAAGAAUAACCAUAAAUUCAUACAUCCAAGGUGGACUAGGCAUGUUAGGUCUUAACAUCUGCAUCUCAUUGAAUUCUUUACGUAUUGUGCUUUUGAUUUUUUUGUUCCUAUUAUCUCUUCUACUCCUCUUUUCAAAUAUUGCCCUUAUAAAUUAAAAGUUAUCCAAUACAAGUGCAACAUUCGACACUCGGACUUCAAGGUUUUGCUACUUAGAUAUUUGGUGCACUUGCCAAAUGCCUAACACUUAUCAGAUUAUAUUAUUAAGAAAAUCAAUUUUAAAUUUGGGAAACCAAAUAUAAAUUUAUCUUAAACUUAAGAGACUAAAAAAUAUCUAAUUUUUUUUUAUAUUAUAAAUUUAACGAAUAAAAAAUAGGUUAAAUUACCUUAUUUCUUAAUUUUACUUUUUUAUGACAAUUUGAUUGAUUUUUUAUUUGUUUAAAGUUAUAAAAUAAUUAUUUAUCUUUUGAAGUGUUAAUCACUUUCGAUUUUGGAAUAUGAUUUUGCAUUUUUUAUAUUGAUUCAAGAACUAAAAUUUAUUUAGAUUCACCUACAUGAAAUUUAUGAAAUAUGUUAAAAAUUAAGUGAAAAUUGAAUCUUAUGAUAGUUUUUUUUUUGGUUGAUUUUGAAAAAAAUUUCAAUUCUUCCGUUGCUCAUAAAACACAAUGUAAUUAUAAUAUAUAAGAUAUAAUAAAGUAGGAGAGUAAGAUAAAAACAUGAUAAGAUAAGUAUAUAAUAAGAUUUAAUUAUAUCCAAAUAUUUGGUAUGCAUAAAUUAUCACGUCCAAUGAUCUGUUAACGACAUUUAUGCUUAACUGAUAAAAGGAUCCAAUUAAAUUAUUUUAAAUAAUUAAAGAACCACUUAAUAAUUAAAGGAACUAAUUAAAUAUUAAAAAUAAAUUUAAAAACCUAAACAGUAAUUUAAUCUAUUUUAUAUAAUAGGUUGGAUAAUAUAAUAAUUAUUAUUAUAUAUAAUAAUUAUAAUAUUGAAUAUAUUACAUAACAUAUAUGGAGAAAGAAAUAGAGGUUAUCUUACUCCAUUAAUUCUGGUCCCUCUCUGAAUAAGAUAAGAGACAUAAUAAUAUUAUCAUCUUAUAUAAUAUAUUUCAAUAUGAUAAUACAGUUAUUUUAUCUUAUUUUUUUAUAUUUUUGUCAUCAAAGGUAUCCUUAUGAUUAUUCAAAUAUCAGUUGGAUCUUAUAAUUUCAUGUAAGUAAAUUUAAAGAGACCGAAUCAAUAAAAAAAUUAAAAUUAUGUUGCAAAAUUGAAAACGAACAAUAUUUUAAAAAUCAUUUUAUAAAUUUUAAUAAAUACGACACCAAAUUACAAUCUAAAAUAAAAUUAAGAUAUUAUAAAGGAGUAAUAUUAUCCUAAAAAUAACAUAAAUCUUAUUAAUUAUAUUCUCAUCAGAGUCAUAAAGAUGAUUUGGGAAGAGGCAUAAGCAUAAGCGUUGGAGUGAUGAUAAGAAGGUUAUAGGUUCUAAUUCUUGUACUAAUAUAACAUACUAGUAGUAAUUAUUAACGUUUACUUAUAAAAAAAAAUUAAAUUCCCUUCGUAUGCAUGGUAAGUAUCAUUAUUUGCAUGGGGCCUUAAUGACACUUGCACUUGACGUCAAAAUGUCAAAUCUACCAUCAAAUACACAUUCAUUAUUCACCGUGUAAUGUGUACAGAUGUCUUUUGUUCCUUCUGCAUGGAAAAAGUGUGACACCUUGCAUUUUCAGUACUCGUGCUCAUCGUUACCAGCAAUAUAGUAUUUUUUUUUUUUAGUGAACCAGCAAUAUAUAUAGUAUAUCUUAUAGAAUAUUACAUAUACUUUAAUACUUAGGUGAAAAAAUUCUUAACUUAUAUAUAUCAUUUAAUUACAUCAUUAAAAUGUUAAUAAAAUAUAGUCAGUAAGUAAUUAAUCGUCAACACAAUUAAGUUGAGAAUAGCUAUCAUUAUAAAUACCCAUGAUAGCUUUGGUUGAUUUUCUCACAGGUCACAGGCUUUUUCUUUUUCUUCUUCUUCUUCUUCUUUAUUUUCUCAUUUUGCCAAACUAAAAUAGUUGUGUUGGUAGCUUUGGCAAAGAUGUUUUCAGCAGGCCAUAAGAUCAAAGGGACAGUGGUGUUGAUGCCCAAGAAUGAGUUGGAAGUUAACCCUGAUGGCUCAGCAGUUGACAACCUUAAUGCUUUCUUGGGCCGUAGUGUCUCCCUUCAGCUCAUUAGUGCUACCAAGGCUGAUGGUUAAUUAAUUUCUUCAUCGUUUCACUUUUUUCCAUCAUCAUCAUCCACAAUCAUCACUUUCUAUAUUAAAAAUUAACUUUAAUUUCUAUAUACGAAAAGUAAGUGUAAAGAGUUUAAAUAAUUUUUGUAAAAUAGUAAUUUCUGAUUCAACGAUAGUAUACACAUUUUUUACAUUUUUAAUUCAUAGAGGGUUUUGUUUUCUAUUAGAAAUAUAUCACGUAGUAAUACAUAACCAAAGAUAUUUAUAUAGUUUAAACUUACUCGGUACGUACGUAACAUAGUAUUAUUAUUAUGUGUGUAUGAUCUGUUUGUAGCACAUGGAAAAGGAAAAGUUGGAAAGGAUACGUUCUUGGAAGGGAUUAAUACUUCGUUACCAACUUUGGGAGCAGGAGAGUCUGCAUUCAAUAUUCAUUUUGAAUGGGACGGAAGCAUGGGAAUCCCCGGUGCGUUUUACAUAAAGAACUACAUGCAAGUUGAGUUCUUCCUCAAGAGUUUGACUCUUGAAGCCAUUUCAAACCAAGGAACCAUCCGCUUUGUUUGCAACUCAUGGGUUUAUAACACUAAACUUUACAAAAGCGUGCGCAUUUUCUUUGCCAACCAUGUAAGCUCUUUAGCAAUUAGUAGUUUAAUUACAAAAGUGUGUGUGUGUGUGAAAUGUCUAAUGGCAAGUUCUUCAAGUUUAAGCUAAGAAUUAAAAAAUUCAAUUUAAUGUAAUGUAGACAUAUGUACCUAGUGAGACACCAGCACCACUUGUGGAGUACAGAGAAGAAGAAUUGAAGAGUUUAAGAGGAAAUGGAACGGGAGAGCGCAAGGAAUAUGAUAGGAUCUAUGAUUAUGAUGUCUACAAUGAUUUGGGCAACCCAGAUAAGAGUGAAAAGUUAGCUCGUCCAGUUCUUGGAGGGUCUAGCACCUUUCCCUACCCUCGUAGGGGAAGAACUGGUCGAGGUCCAACAGUUACAGGUUAGUCUUCUAUGGUUCUAUAUAAUUUAAAUGAAUUGUAACAUUGACUUUUUAUAAUGUUAUGGUCAGCGUAGUACAACAUAUUGCUUGGGUAUAUGUGACACGUUAUAAAUUAAUUUUGCACUAUGAUUCUGAUUAUUUUUAUUUUUUUUGGAUGAUUAAGUUUUUACACAUUGUUGUUUCCUAAUCAAUUUCAAUUCAACAGACCCGAAUACUGAGAAACAAGGCGAAGUAUUUUAUGUUCCAAGAGAUGAAAAUUUAGGUCACUUGAAGUCUAAGGAUGCUCUUGAGAUUGGAACAAAAUCUUUAUCUCAAAUUGUCCAGCCGGCGUUCGAAUCUGCGUUCGAUUUGAAAUCCACGCCAAUUGAGUUUCAUAGCUUCCAAGAUGUGCAUGACUUGUAUGAAGGUGGAAUUAAGCUUCCUAGAGAUGUAAUUAGCACAAUUAUCCCCUUACCAGUGAUCAAAGAACUCUAUCGUACCGAUGGUCAACACAUCCUCAAGUUUCCACAACCUCACGUCGUUCAAGGUGUGAUAAAUAAAUAUAAUAAACCACUCAUACUUGAAAUCUUGAAUUAAUCAAUGACAUAAUAAAUAUAAUAAACCACUGAUACUUGAAAUCUUGAAUUAAUUAAUGACAUUUUGGUCAUACAAAUCGUAUCGUAUUCACGAACAAAUUCAAAACUCAUUAUGUUUUUUAUGAAAUGGUUAUUCCAUUUAAUAAGGAUUUUCUUUUUAUUAUUAAUUUGGGUAGUGAGUCAGUCUGCAUGGAUGACUGAUGAAGAAUUUGCUAGAGAGAUGAUUGCUGGUGUAAAUCCCUGCGUAAUUCGUGGUCUUGAAGUAAGUUCAAAUAUUUAUUUAUAAAAUCAAAUUUGAUGUCCACGUAAAAUUAGGUAGUAUAUCGCCAGUAAUAAACUAAAAUACUAAAUGGUUGUUCUUCUUUAAUUAAAUGGAUUGUAGGAGUUCCCUCCAAAAAGUAAUCUGGAUCCUGCAAUCUAUGGUGAUCAAAGCAGUAAGAUAACAGCAGAUUCCCUUGAUCUAGAUGGGUACACAAUGGACGAGGUAAACAUGCGAAGCGAAGGAAUUGAUACAAUAAUUUUCCUCUUAAAGUAAUUAAUUAAAACUAAUUGAAUUUUGUGGUACAGGCACUUGGUAGUCGAAGGUUAUUUAUGUUAGAUUACCAUGAUAUCUUCAUGCCAUAUGUGAGGCAGAUAAAUCAGCUGAAUUCUGCCAAGACUUAUGCGACAAGGACUAUCCUUUUUUUGAGAGAAGAUGGAACUUUAAAGCCAGUGGCCAUCGAAUUAAGUUUGCCACAUUCUGCUGGGGAUCUGUCAGCUGCCGUCAGUCAAGUCGUCUUACCUGCUAAGGAAGGUGUUGAGAGCACAAUUUGGCUACUAGCCAAAGCUUAUGUCAUCGUAAAUGACUCUUGCUACCAUCAACUCAUGAGCCAUUGGUAUAAAUUUUCAUUUUCAUUUUCAUUGCUAUAUAUCAACAUAUAUAGAUAAAUUCAAUCUCUAAUCCCUCUCUCUCAAGUGUAUAUUAAUUACUUUUGAUUUCUUCAUAGGUUAAAUACUCAUGCGGCGAUGGAGCCAUUCGUCAUAGCAACACACCGACAUCUUAGCGUGCUUCACCCAAUUUACAAGCUUCUGACUCCUCACUAUCGUAACAACAUGAACAUCAACGCACUUGCCAGGCAAUCUCUAAUUAAUGCUAAUGGCAUAAUAGAGACAACCUUUUUGCCCUCAAAGUAUUCUGUGGAGAUGUCUUCGGCGGUUUAUAAGAAUUGGGUUUUCACUGAUCAAGCACUACCUGCAGAUCUUAUCAAGAGGUAAUUAAUUAAGUAAAUCUCUCUAUAUCACUAGAAAAAAAAUGUGACAUAAAGGUUUGAAAUAUAUAGGUAUACAUUUUGUUACAAAGCAUAAUGAUGGAUGCAUGUAUAUAUUAUAUUUUGUUUGACUUAGAGGAGUGGCAAUUAAGGAUCCAUCAACCCCACAUGGAGUUCGUCUUCUGAUAGAGGACUAUCCUUAUGCCGCUGAUGGACUGGAGAUAUGGGCUGCAAUUAAGACAUGGGUUCAAGAAUAUGUGCCCUUGUACUAUGCAAGAGAUGAUGAUGUCAAAAAUGAUUCUGAACUCCAACAUUGGUGGAAAGAAGCUGUAGAGAAAGGCCAUGGUGAUUUGAAAGACAAGCAUGGUGGCCUAAGUUGCAGACACUUGAAGACCUUGUUGAAGUUUGCCUCAUUAUCAUAUGGAUUGCUUCAGCUCUCCAUGCAGCCGUUAAUUUUGGUCAGUAUCCUUAUGGAGGUUUGAUAAUGAACCGCCCAACUGCUUCUAGAAGGUUGCUUCCUGAGAAAGGCACCCCAGAAUAUGAAGAAAUGAUUAAUAACCAUGAAAAGGCUUAUUUGAGAACAAUUACAUCAAAGUUGCCGACUCUCAUUAGCCUUUCAGUGAUAGAGAUCUUGUCGACACAUGCUUCUGAUGAGGUCUACCUUGGCCAGAGGGACAACCCACAUUGGACCUCUGAUUCAAAAGCAUUACAAGCCUUUCAAAAGUUUGGAAACAAGCUCAAGGAAAUUGAGGAAAAACUUGUGAGGAGGAACAAUGAUCCGAGUCUGCAGGGCAAUCGACUUGGCCCGGUUCAACUGCCAUACACUUUGCUUUAUCCUAGCAGUGAGGAAGGGUUAACUUUUAGGGGAAUUCCAAAUAGCAUCUCUAUCUAAGGGAGCCUGUGGUUUACUCUAAUUACUCUAUAUAUAGUGCAUGUGUACCUUCCAAUAAAAAAGAUGCAAGACUAGAGAUCCGAUAAAUCUUGCAUCUUAUCUAAUGUUUCAAUUAUCUUGUGUUUUAAUUAAUGUUGUAAUUGAGCUCACAGUUUGGUUGUGGUUUGCAAAUAAUAAGAGCAGUGAGCACUAUUAGUUUGUGUUUAGCUCCUGUCAUCAUGUUUGGUAUUAUACAUUUUGCAGAUUACGUAACACAAAUUUAUGUUAUUAGUAAAAAAACUGUAUUGUACGAAUAUUUUGUAUUAUAAGUAUAUAAGAAAUAAAAAUUAUUAGUAUUAGUAAAAAAACUGUAUUAAUUCUUUGUAGUUCGUCUCAUUAGUUUUUGUAUCUUGUUAUAUUUGUUUCUCCAUUGUUUUUAUCAUCACUAUCUAAUUUAUCUGCUACAAAUUACUUUUAAGUCACAACUCGAUUCACAUGCAUGGGCGCUGCAAAAUUAGCACACAGUAAAAAUCUAUCAAUAAGAAAAAAAAUACCUUACACGUUUGGCAUGGAAUUUAUUUUGCUUUUAGAGUGUGUUAUCUACAGAGAAGAAAACAAUUUAUCACAUAUUACAGGUGAAAGGCCUAAGGCUUUCAACUUUUAAUGAGCACGCCAAUAAAAAAAUAUGAUAGAUGUAUCCAAAUAUUCUCACAGUAUGAUCUGUUUGAAAGCCACAAAUUUGUAACCUUUAAUGAAUGGAAGCCUGAAAGAAGAACGACCACAACCGAUGUCAACAGAUGAAAUCGAGAACGCAAAAAGGACAGGUGUGUACCAUCUUAGUUAAAGAAGACGAGCAAAGGCAGCAGUGGAUGUACUUGAUCAAUAAGUAAAGCCCUACAAGGCUCAGAGCAGAACUACCAACGACUAGAAAAAGUAACAUGUGUUGUGGUCAUAUAACAGCUUGUGGACUAGAAUUUCCUAUACUGCCCUGACUUGGCAGGAAAAAUGAUAUCUUGGAUACAUGGCCAAUGCAAUUUUAAAAACUAACCCUUGCUGCAAUUGAAAUUGCGACUCAGAUAAGAUGAUAUUUUCUUCUAGUUUGCACUUCACAGCAGCAUUGUUAAAAGUUAAAACAUGCAUGAUUGCAUUUAUUAUUUUGGUUUCCAUUAUACUAACACAACUCUCUUUAUUAAUGACAAAUACAAAUACAUUCAGCCACUCCAAAUACAUGACUUAAGCAUACACAACUGAUUAAGGAAUCUGGUUCCUUCAAUUUCACAUUUAUUUAAAACCAGGAACAGUACUUAAGCAACCAUAGGGUCCUUAGAUAGAGAUACUGUUGGGAAUUCCUCUGAAAGUCAAUCCCUCCUCACUAGAAGGAUAGAGCAGAGUGUAAGGCAUUUUAGCUGGCCCAUAGCGGUUUCUCAAUGUCUCAUCUUUGUUCUUCUCUAUAAGCUUCUUUUCAAUCUCUUCAAGCUUCUUUCCAAACCUCUUAAAUGCCUCUAAUGGACCGGCAUCAGAAGUCCAGUAGUCACCACCAUCUCUCUGCCCAAGGUAGAACUCAUCAGAUGCGUGCCUUGACAAGAUUUCUAUAACUGUAAGGUCAAUGAGGGUCUCCUUCUUGCCAGUAAUAGUCUUCAAAAACUCCUUCUCAGGGUUCUUAGCCAACGCAUCAUAUUCAGGAGACCCCUUUUCAGGCAUGAAUCUCCUGCUAAUAGUUGGCCUGUUUAGGAUUAAACCUCCAUAUGGAUACUGUCCAAAGUUAACAGCAGCAUGAAGGGCUGAAGCAAUCCAUAUGAGGAUAGCGGAAGCUUCAACCAACUCUUCACGAGUUUGCAUCUUUUGCCACCAUGGCUUAUCUUUCAAAUCACCAUGACCCACCUCUACAAGUUCUUUCCACCAAGCUUGGAGUUCAGGGUCUUUUUGGAGUUCCUCAUCUGACUUGUAGUAGAAUGAGACAUAUUCUUGCACCCAGGACUUGAUGGCAUCCCAUAUCUCUAGCCCAUCAGAAGCAUAAGGAUAGUCCUCAAUCAAAAGACGAACUCCAUGGGGAGCAGAUGGGUCCUUAACAGCAACUCCUCUGAAUUAAAACAACCCGAAUAGCACUAAUUAGCAUAAGAGUCAUAUCAAGCCUGAUUCCUGAAGCCUUUUUUUCUUUUGUCGUUGAUGACUUAGAUUUAGAUUCUUUAUUUUUAAGCGAUAUAUAUUUCUAAUUUGUUGAUAAACUUUAAAAGAUUACUUACCUCUUUACAAGAUCAUUAGGUAAUGCUUGAUCAGUGAAAACCCAGUCCUUGUAAAUGACAGCGGACAUUUCCAUAGAGUACCUACCCCACAAGAAUGUUUUCUCUAUAAUACCAUCUGCAUUGACCAGGGCUUUCCGGGCAAGUGAAUUAAUAUUCAUGGUGUCACGGUAGUGAGGAAACAGAAGUUUGUAAAUAGGGUGAACCACACUCAGUUGCCUGUUUGUUGCUAUGACAAAUGGCUCAACAAUUGCAUGAGUGCUUAGCCUGCCAUCCAUGUUAAUAUGUUAAAUCAUUUAUUCAUAAAUACAUUAUCAAAUUUAAUUGCAUGGAUCUAAUUUCCAAUUCAUAAUAUGGUACCAAUGGCUAAUGAUUUGAUGGUAGCAUGCAUCAUUCACAACAACAUAAGCCUUUGCCAGUAACCAAAUAUAAGCUUCCACUCCUUCGCUGGCAGGCACGUAGACUUCGCUAACAGGACCAUAUUCUUCACCCUGAGGAUGUGGCUUACUUAACUCAAUGGCCAAUGGUGUCAAAGUUCCAUCAUCUUUCAAGAAAAAUAUGGUUCUUGUAGCAUAAGUCUUUGUGGUAUUUGCAUUUAUUUUCCUCAAAUAAGGAAUGAGAUAGUCAUGGUGAUCUAAGAUGAACAACUUCUUGUUUUGGAUAGCCUGUUCAACCAAGUACAAUUAAUUAAUUGCUAUUCAUUGGAAUUACAUUAAAAAAAACACACACACAAAUAGAUAAAAAGCAAUAGAAAAAACAUUAUGGUGAAACAAUUUUAAUGUGAAACCAAAUACUCAUAUCAUUACCUGCUCAACAGUGAGCCCACCUAAGUUAGGCUCCAAAUGUUCUUUUGCUAUUAUACAGGUAUGAUCACCAUAGGCUUGAGUAUCUAGCUUGCUACUUAGUGGGAACUCCUGGAAUAAAUUUAUCACGCAAUGAAUGAGGAUAGCACUCCCAAAUUGCAUCCAAGCUUUUGGUUGCGUGUAUUUUCUUAUGAAUCAAACUUUUAAAUUAAGCUUACCUCUAUAAUCUUAAUGACAUUUGGAUUUAAACCAGCAAUCGUUUCUCUUGCAAAUUCUUCAUCAGUCAUCCAUGCAGACUUAUCCACUGCACCAAAUAAAAACAGUUCAAAAUUCAUCCACGUGAUUAAAUAUGUUGAAUAAAAACAGGAGUAUAUUGAUAAUAUUCCGCAUAUUCAAAAUAUGUAGCAUACCCUGCAUCACUUUAGGUGGUGGAUACUUGAGGAACUGUUCGCCAUCAGUUCGAAAAAUUUCCUUGAUCACUGGUAUAGGGGCGAUCUUGCUAAGAAAGUUUGUAGGUAGUGUAACUCCACCUUCAUAGAGUUUGUGCACUUCAGCAAAAUUAUCAAACUCAAGGCUCAAAAUAUUUCCAUCGAAUGCAUCAGUCAAGACAGGCAAGACAUCUUGGGAUACAGAUUUGAUUCCAUAAGCGAGAAAAUCUGAUGACUUCAAGUGACCAAAUGCUUCAUCUCUUGGAAGGUAAACAAAAUCGCUCGGCUUCUCACUGUUGGGAUCUGUUAGUUAAGAUGAAGGCACAUAAUAUACGUUAGCGACUACAAACAACAACAUUACAACAACUACUCAAAGAUUUUACAGCAGAGUAACUAAGUAUUCUAAGGAACGCACUUGACCAAUUCAGUUAUGCUAAAAGAAAAACAGCAGAAGUAUAAUAAAGUAGUGAGUAGUGAGUAACCUUUUCUAGUUUUUCCUCUUCCGGUUCUUCCUCUGCGAGGGUAAGGUAAGGCUGAACCACCAAGAACGGGGCGUGCAUAUUUAUCACCGCUAUCCGGGUUGCCCAAGUCAUUGUAGACAUCAUAAUCAUAGAUCCUAUCCCAUUCCUUGCGCUCUCCAGUUCCAUCCCCUCUUACAUUCUUCAAUUCUUCUUCUCUGUACUUCAAAAGUGGAGCUGGUGUCUCGCUUGGAAGAUAUGUCUGCAUUAUAAUUUAUAUGUAUAACAACUUUUUCAUCAUCCAUGUUGUUAUGUUGUAAAAUUCAACAACAAUAAAUAUUAAACACCGUACGCAUCAUGUAGUAAUGUGACAAUAUAUGUGGCUUACAUUGUUGGCAAAGAAAAUGCGAUCAGUCUUGUAGUUUUUUGAAUUGUAAACCCAGGAGUUGCAUACGAAGUGAAUGGUUCCGUGGUUUGGAAUGUCUUCGAGAAUUAGAGACUUGAGGUAGAACUCAUUUUGCAUGAAGUUCUUAAUAUAAAAUGCACCGGGAAUUCCGAAGUCACUGUCCCAUUCAAAAUUAACAUCGUAUGCUUGUUCGCCAGCUCCCAAGGUUGGUAAUGUUAUCUUUCCUCUUAAAUUUGUACUCUUUCCAAUUUUUCCUUUCCCACCUACCAAAUUUCACAGAAAAUUUAAUUUAAUCUCAACUGAAACUUACCUAAGGUGUUCAUAAACAACCAAAACCAAUAAAAGUCGAAAAAACAAUAUUCAAAAAAUUGAAAAUUGAAAAAACUGAAACUCAAACCAAAAAAUCGAAUAUUUGGAUUGGAUUGAAUCAUAUUUCGAAAACCAUUUAAAAGAACAAAUGGACAACUAGUCAAUUUAGUUCAAACAACUUUUUUUUAUCCGUAAGAUUUAACUGUAGAAAUGAAUUGGGUUGCCCAUUAGAGACCUAUGAUCUUAUUCAUUUAAGUUUUGACUUGAUCUGACUCAUUUAGUAACAAAGUUAUGCCUAAGUUUUUUUUAAAAAAUUGUUUAGUCAAAAAGAUGGGUCUUAAAAAAAGUCUAUUAGGCUUGAUUAAUUAUCCAUUUAGCAACAAUAUUUUUUAAUAAAAAUAUUAUUAUUAAUAUGAUAUAUAAUAUUAUAAUUAUUUUAUUUAAAUUACAAAGUUAUUUAGUAGCUUGAUAAUUUUAAUCAUUGUAAUUAAUGUUUAUGAGGAUAGAUGAGUAAUAGGAAUAGGGAUUAUUUUCUUUUUUUGAGACUUAAAAACUUUAAUAGCAUGUUACAUGUAAUGUUUGUAAGAAAGUUUUGUAUAUUAUAGUUUAAAAUUAUCUUAUUGUUUUUUAUGAAAAUCUUUAAUUUUAUUUAAAAAAAAUAUUUUUUUUACUUUUUAAUAUAAAACAAACCUUUAGAUGAGCCUCGCAAACUUAUAUAAAUGUCACUCCUAAAAAUGGGCUCAUAAUAGAUAACAAAUGCAAGUUUGAGUUAUAAAAAUAUAAAACAAGUAAGGACAGGGCUUAUAUAGGGCUUAUAUAGGGCUUAUCCAAUUCAAUCCAUUCUCACCUCUAAGUAAGCAUAAAAUAAAUAUUAGAGAGUUAAUAUUCAAACACCAACAGAGCUAGACUCACAGGUAAUCCUGACAAAACUUAUAUAUGCAUUUUUAUCAUAAAAUUAUAUAUAUCAUUCAUGCUUAUAUUUUUAUUUCUUAUUUUUAAUAAAUUAUCAAAUGAUUUAUACUUAUUUAUACAAUAUAUUUAAUUGAUUAUAUAUUUUUAGUAAUUAUUUGAGUAAAGAUACAUAAAUAUUAAAAAAAAAUGCUAACCAACACAGGACACGUGUUAAAGAAUAAAAUAAUGAAAUGUUUUUUCAUUGAAAAGUGUAGCAGUAAAAUCUCCCAUGAUUUCUAAUACGGUAUGAGUAUGCCAAUAAAAACUUUUUCUUCAUUAAUUCUUUUAUCAAAGGCUAUCAACGCCCUAAAUAUAAUUAUCAAAUUGUAUAAAUUUAUUUUUAAUAAUAUAUAAUUUUAUAUUUAUAGAACUAAUAGUUAUAUAAUGACUUUAUAUAUAUGUGAGAUAUUUUAUAAUUAAAAUUAUUUAUUCUUAUGUUUAUUAUAUAUCUUAUCAUUUAUUUAAUAUUUUAAAAAAAACAAAAUGAGAUUUUUUUAUCCAUAAACGAAAUGAAGAUUGAAAUAGAAAAUUGACCCAAUUCAAAUUGUUUUAAAUUGGGUCGAUAUGUUACAUAUGGUUUAGAACGAAUCGUCAAUAUUAUAAGUUGUAUAUAAAGUUUUCUUCACAAACAUUUAAGGUAACUGUAUAUGUUUUUGGUGUAAAAGGUAACUGUAUAUUCAGGAGUCUAGCUUAAACCCAAUUAUUAAACCGAAAUAUUCCCAUGACCCUUGAUCCGUGGACUUGGCUAUUUAAUUGAAACAUUAAAUUUCAUGGCUACCGUUAUAAAAAAAAAAAUGAUUGAUUUUCAGUUCGAGAAGAUGAUCCAUAAUUCACGGGGACAAAAUAUCAAUAAAGAUUUGACGACUAUGAAGGGGAAAGACCACUUUUCAUUUGGCUGUUGUCACGUUUGUUACACAUUUUUUUAAGAGGGGUAAAUCUUUGCGGACAAAAAGGUUAAAUUUUUUAAAUAUUAUUAAAUGUAAUAAGUCAUACAUAUUCUUAUUUCAAAGAACAGAAACGUAUCUAUAAGUUGUAAAAAAACUACUCAUAUAUACUGCAUUUAGAAAAGUAGAGUUCAUAGUCUCUUGUACACCAAAAAAAGAUUGUAAUUUCUUAAAAAGUAUCCUAUCUUAAGCCAUAAUUGACGUGGUUAUAAAAAUUAUUCAAUCAAAGCUGAAAACUUAUGUACAAUAUCAUAGAAGCUGUUUUUUCUGUUUUUCAAUCAAAAUUGAAAUUUCACUUGGGUAAUCCGUGAAAUCCUUUUAUGAAGACCUUUAUUACACAGAUUUUUAAGAUAAAACUUCAAUUCUGAUUAAAAAAAUAGUAAACAAAGUAUUGAAUACAAGUUCUAUCCGGCGAUAAAUUAAAUCGUCUUUCCUUGCAAGUGCUUGAAUUGAAAUAUAGGAGGGAGAAAUGAAAUAAAAAGUUUAGACUUUAGAGAAGGAACUAAAAGUGAAGUAAUUCACUAAUAUCGAUCUAGCAAGAAGAACAGUUGAAAGAAAAUUGAGAUAGUAUGCAUGAGGUGGUGAAAAGUGAAGUAAAUUACCAUCAGCCUUGGUAGCACUAAUCAACUGGAUGGAGAUUUUGGUGGCUGCAAAAGUAAGUGCAUCGACUGCACUGCCUAUGAAGCCUAAGCCUUGGUCAACGAUCCCUCCAACACUGGUGAUGCUGUUGAUAUCCAACACAUUCUUCUGCAUAACCACCAUAGUCCCCUUUAUCUUUUGACCCUUUUGCCCGAAAGGAAACAUCUUUGCUACUUUCAACCAAACACUCUCAGAAGAUUGAUUGAUUGCCUUGUGAGUAACACAAACAUGAGCUGCCCCCUAUUUAUAGAUAACAACAUCCAACGAUAAAAUACUUAAAUAUUCCAACGGAUAACUUUUCUUUUUUUUACUCGGCCUGCAACUUGCAAGAUGCUUACCAAUUUUUAUUAUUAUUGUAUGUUUUUAAACAUGAUAGGGUAUUAAUUUAUUAUUUUCUUUUUUAAUUCAAGUUAAUCGUUGUACAUUAAUAAAUACUAUUUAUUCCAUUGAUUAUUGAGUGCAUAUUGAGUUUUUUUUGUUAGUGUUGACCUUCUUGUCCGUAAUUUGUUUCAUGAUACAUGUGGGAUUCCAAUAUGAUUUAUUAAGAAUCACUAAUAAUGGAUUUGAUGAUAUACUCAAUCAAUCAAACCUAUUCAUGUUACUUCAAUGCAUUAAUUUUUAUUUUAUUUUCCGAGUAUGAACUUGUGUUAAUAAUUAAAAUAUAUAUUUUCUAUAUCCUAUUAAUUUCCGUUGCUAUGAAUAUUUUUUAUAUCUGUCUAGUUAAAUUUUAAAUGCUAGAAUAUCUUAAUUUAUGGUUAUUGUUGUUUGAGUUCAAAACAUAUGAAGAAUGUUCUUUGAUUGAUGUAUGAUCAGUAAGGAUGUUAUUUCGAUGCAUUUGUCUGUUGACCCGAUCAUGAUUUUGGACAAGACAAAAUUGAUUCAUGUAUGAGAAUUUUCAUGAAUUACUAUAAGUUAUUACUGCCAAAGAGGGAUCAUUUAUAUUUAUUCAUGAUUUUUUUUUUUUUUUGUAAUUGGAGGAAUGUUUUCUAUCUUUGCAUGUAAUUGUUUACCCAAAGGGGGUUGUUGUAUGUUUGGGUUGAGAGUUAAGAAUGGAUGAAGUUAUUGAGAAAUGCACCAAGUUGAGGGAUUUGUCUAUUUAAAGGGGACAAUUUUUUGAAUUUUGUGCAUACUCAUGGAUUAACCUCUCUGAGGUAUUGACCUAGGCUUUAACCUUGGUUUGUGCAUUCUCCCCAAAUGGAAAUGUAUUGUUAUAUUGGUCUCGCAUUGAUAGCUUGUUUCCUUUUUUUAGCUAUAUCUUGUCUUGUAAUAUGUCCUAAUGCAUUCUUGUUUUGAUUUAAUAAUGAAUUUUUCUAUGAACUAUUUUACUUCCAUUGAGAUCUUGAAUGGAUCAAAUUACUACAAUUGGAAGAAAGAUGUGGAAUAUUCUUUUGAAAAUUUAUGAUAUUAUUUAACUUUGCGUGAGGAUAAGUCUAUGAUCAAUUCAGAUAGUAGGUUUGAACAAAAGAAACUUUUGGCUAAGUGAGAGAGGUCUAAUAGGUUGAAUUUGAUUGCUAUCAAGAAGACCGUCUCUAAACAUCUUUUGAGUGGUCUACCAGAGAAAGUGAUAGUGUUAACUCGAUGACAAGUGUAUCAAUUCGUUUUAAGUAAUAAAAGACUUGAAAGUCUCAGUGUCGAAUCCGCAUGGACUUUGGUUGUACUUAAAGUGAUGCAAAUCCAAUGAUUGAGCAAUUAGAUGAAGUAGAAGAGACAAGGAAUUGUAAGUGUGGAAAUUGGGGUAAAAAAAAGAUAACAAAAAAAUAAACAGUAAUUUAAAUGCAAAAAGAUGAAUUUAGAAUAUGAUAAUGUUGGAACCUAUCAUGCCAAAACUACUUGUAAUGCAAUGUUCAUGAUUUUCUCUAUCUAAUGAAAUCCAUGUUUUCACCCACAUCUACUAAGAUACUCUAUCUUUAGUUUUCUGCAUGAAGAGCCUAAUUUAUUUAUUCUUUUCUCUCAAAUUUCUUUGCAAAGAUAAAAAUAAUAAAUCGCGUUAAGAUUAGAUAUGCAUAAAUUAGGCAAAACAAACAUCAAUCUAUUUCUAGCAAUGAUUUCAUUUAGAUGUUCUUCCCCAGAUCAUUAGAAAAUAAUCAUUUUUCAAUGCAUUAUCCCUUAAACACUAUAUGGAUGAUCUGUCCAUAAUAAACAAAGAAGCACAAAGAAGAGUAAUAGAAACAAAAUUGCAUUAAAUAAAUAAUAGACAGAAUUACAUUGCAAGCAUUGGUCUGUCAGGCUUUCAACAAUGGGGGUUUAGCCUCUCAUCGCCGUGAGAGACUUUACACUUCAAGAGGGCUAAUGUGGAUGGAAGAAGGGAUUGGAUGGCUAAAGAAUGAGGGUUUCCCCCUAUUAGAGGUGCUUAGACUUUUGGAUUUCUUUACUAGAGAGCUCUGAGACUCGGUGUAUCUUUCCCUUCUGUUUCUUACUCCUUUUAUAGGCCCAAGGUAACUUACUUUUCACAUUGACUUCGCACUAAGUGUGCACUCCUAGGCUUAGCAAGAAUGGUGGUUUAAUCACACGCUAAGCACGACCUUGGGCUUUCUCGUGGGCCUUCUUCGUGCUAAGCGUGAGCUGGUCGCUAAGCGAGCAACACGCGCUGAGCCGGUAUCGCACGCUAAACGAGCUGUCUAAUUCUUCUAACUUUUCUUCAAAACUUUUUCUUCCAAUUUUUGCAUCAAUUUUCCUCUGGAGCAUGUGUUCUUCUUUUGACUUUUGCUAAUCAAAGAUUUCAAAGAUAUUAAUUUAUUCAUUAUUUCAUUAAAAACAACAGUAAAGUGAAGAAAUUAUAAUUAUUCUUAACCAAAAUUACUUAUCAAAUUAACUCAAAUUUUACAGUUAUCAAAUAGCUAAGGAGUUCUCUGAUGCUCUAGGAAAGAGGUACCAAGUAUCCGAUAAUGCCGAGUCUAAAUGUCUAAUGAAGCAGUUAACAAACAUAAGAUAUGAUAAUGUUAGGGGUGUAAGGGAAUUCAUUAUGAAGAUGGUUCAUAUUCAAACCAAGCUUAAAUAUCAUCAAAUUGACCUUAAUGAAAAAUUCAUAGUUAAACAUGGCUUAAAAAGCCUACCCGCUAAUUUACACAAAUUAAAACUUCUCACAAUACCAUUGGUGAGAAAUGGACUCUAAAUGACCUUAUUAUCAAGUGUGUUGUCGAGGAAGCGAAACUCGAGAAAGAAAAGAGUGACAUAGUCAUGUUAUAAGUCCAUGGCAAACCCACUUUCAGCAAGGGACAUUGGAAAAAUACAAAGAGUGCAUCUAAUGCUUCUCAUAGAUAUCAAGUUUCGGGGAAACCAAGUAAGGGUUAGCACCACAAUGCAGGACCUAGGCCAGCUAUCUUUAAGAAAGGUAUUUGGUGUUUCAGGUGUAUAGAGAAAGGGCAUAAGAAAUUUGAUUGUGGAAAGUUCAAGGCUUGGUUUGAGAACAAGCAUAAAUCAUGAGGGGUUCAGAAAUUUAAGGGAGCCUAGUAUGAAGGAAAUAAAGUUAAGGGUAGCAAAUGAUCUUGAAAUUUGCGUUGAGAAAGUGAGAGACGUCAACCUAGUUUUAGCUUUUGGAUUUGAAUUGGUUUUAAAAGAUACCUUUUAUGUACUUUCUUUUAGGAUAAAUUUGAUUUAUGUUUCUUGUUUAGACAAUCUUGGUUUUAAUUUUACUUGUAGUGAUAGGAAAAUAAAUAUGAUGUUAAACUCCCAAAUUAUUGGUUAUGAAUUUUUAGUUGAUGGUUUAUAUAAAUUGUCUUUGGACUUAAACAAUAUUUUGUCAUCUUUAGUUGUUAAGAACUAUGUUGCUAAAAGAUUUAAAGUUGAAUAAAAAUCAUUUAUGUGGCACAAGCACUUAGGUCAUAUUUCUCGGGAAAGGAUUGAGACAUUAACAAAGACAUGUAUUCUACCUUCAUUGGGUUUUGAUGACUUGAGUACUUGUUAAACAAGUGGCCUCAAUAACUUCAGAGAAUGGUGAAUUAAGUUUAAAACAUUUAUCCUAACAAAUUUAUAAUUCUCUCUUUAAACGGAAUAUGCAGACUUAAUAGAAAAAAAGUAAAGAACAAUUCAAUUGAUACUUCUUUAAAAUAUGCAAAGUAAAAUUAAAAUGCAAUAAAUUAAAGGAGUUUAGGGAAGAGAAAAUUUCUUUAUCAAUUUGAUGAUGACAAUCAUUAUCAAGUGAAUUUUUUUUCAGCAUCAUCAAAACCUGCAUAAUUCACUCUUUUUGAUGAUGACAAUCAUUAUCAAGCAAAUUCUUUUCAGCAUGAUUCACACUCGUGUGAAUUGUAUAAGGAGAAAACUUACUAUAAGAAAAAAAAGAGCAACUAGAAGCUUAAAUCUUUUAAAGAUCAUUCGUGCAUACAUUAGUGGACUCUUAAAUUCUACAAUUUGCGGUAAAAAAAAAAUUCGUUACAUUUUUUGAUGAUUUUUCUGGCAUGGCUAUCUUUACUUGAUUAAAGAAAAAUUUGAAGCACUUGAAAAGUUCAAAAUUUUUAAAACCGAAGUUGAAAAGGAGUUGGAAAAAGUCAUCAAGAUUGUAAGGUCUCACCCUGGUGGAAAGUAUUAUGGUAAAUAUGGUGUUUGUUAACUCGUUGGCAAGUGUAAUAAUUUUAUCACAAGUAGUAAAGAUUAAAAUGGAAGUCUAAGUGUCGAAUUCACAAAAACUUUGGUUGUACUUAAGUGAUGCAAGCCCAAUUAUUAAGUAAUGAGAAGAAGUAGAAGAAGAAAAGAUAAGGAAUUGGAAGUAUGAAAUUUGGAAUAAGACAAAGAAAAAGAUAACAAGAAAAUUAAAUAAUAGUUUAAAUGCAAAAAGAUAAAGUCAGAAUGUGAUAUAAUGUUGGGGUAUAGCAUGUCAAAACUACUUGUAAUGUAAUGUAACAAAUUUUCUCUUUCUAAUGAAAUUCUUGUUUCCACCCGCAUCUACUAAGAUAUUCUAUCUUUGGUUUCCCGCAUGAAAAGUCUAGUUUAUUUAUCAUUUGUUCCCAAAUUUCUUUGCAGAGAUAAAAAUAACAAACCGCAUUAAGAUAAGAGAUACAAAAAUUAUUGGGCAAAACAAAUGUCAAUCUAUUACUAGUAAUGAAUUUAUUUAGAUACUUUUCUCCAGUUAUUUAGAAACUAAUUAUUUUUCAAUGCAUUACCCUCUAAACAUUAUAUGGAUGAUCAGGUCAUAAUAACAGAAAAACAGAUAGAAUAAUAAUAGAAACAGAAUUGCAUUAAAUAGAUAAUGGGAAAAAAAUUACAUUACAAGAGUUUGACCUUAAGGCUCCCAACAAAAGGGGUUUAGCCUCUUAUAGCCAUGAAAGAUUUUACACUUCAGAGGCUAAUAUGGAUGGAAGAAGGGGUUGGAUGACUAGAAGCAAGAAAGAGAUGAAUGACUAAAAAAAGAGGAUUUCUCCUUGGGGAGAGACUCAGGCUUUGGAUUUCUUCACUAAAGAGUUCUGAGACUCAGUGUGUCUUUUCUUUUUGUCUCCUACUCCUUUUAUAGUAGUUCACUUUUAUGCUGACCUCGUACUUAGCAUGCCAUUGGACUUCCUCGUGGACCUUAUUCGCGCUAAGCCUGAAUUUGCUUGCUAAGUGAGAGUGCACGUUGGGCGAGCUAUCAAAUUUUUCAAACUCUUCUUCAAGGUUUUUUCUUCAAUUUUUGCAUCAAUUUUCCUCUAAAGCACUUGAAAUUUUUUUUUUUUUUUUACUUUUGCUAAUAAAAAAUUGCAAAGAUAUAUAUUUCUUCAUUGUUUCAUUAAAAACAAUAGUAAAUUGAAAAAAUUACAAUCAUUAUUAGUCAAAAUUGACUAUCAAAUUAACUCAUAUUUCACAGUUAUUAAUGUCACAGGCAAUAAGACAAUAUAUGGAACCAUUCGCCUUAUACUUGCAUGAGUGUGGAAUAGUUUCAUGAUACACCAUGCCUCAAACUCAACAAAAUGGUAUAACCAAAAGGCAUAAGAGAACACUUAAAGAUAUGAUGAGAAGCAUGAUGAGUAGAUGUAACUUGCCAGAAUUCCUAAAUGGAGAAGCCUUGAAAACAAUCCUUUACAUCCAGUUAAGACCACAGUUGCUGCUGAAGAUAUAGUUGGCUCUCAAGCCAAUGAUAUGUUUGAUCCUCCUACUAUGGAUGAGAAUGCACAAACCAGUUGAUUCCACAUGUUCAUUUGAGAAGGUCAACUAAGGAGAUGAGACUUGCUAUUAUGAUGACUUUUAAGUCUAUCUUGGUGAGGAUGCAUAUUACAUUGGAGAUAUUGUUGAUCGAAAGAACGGUCAAACUUAAGUAUAAAGAGAGUUUGAUUAGAUAAAGGAAAACUUGAUUUUUGGAUUCUUCAUAUUAUAGUACGCAUAGAUCAUUCUCAUUUUUUUUAUGUCUUUAACAAAUGUUAUGUCGGUGUUGUAAACUCUAAUAAAUCAUUUUUGAUAGACUUAUUUAUAUAUUUUUUAGGAGACACAACAGUAUUAUAAAUUAUUUAAUAUUAUCUUUGAUUCUUACAAAUAAAAAAAAAUCAUAUCACAUGUAAUUUUCAAAUGAACAUUAAUAUUAUUCAAAUGUCAAUUUUUUUAAUCAAAAUUUACUGUGUAACAAGUUAAUAUUGGUGAGUAAUUUUUAUAAAUAGGUACCUAGCUAACAGAUAAUAACGCGAGUAUAGAUGAAUUUUUUAUCCAACGAAGCGGGUAGCUACAUCCCCCGAUUGUCAUCCCUAUUCUUAAGUGACAAAAAGUCUCGUUAGCAAGGGAUGUUCAUCUACACAUCCAGCUUUCCAUCCGAUCAGAAGAAUUGAGCAGCAGCUUCCAGAGAAUUAUAUUAUGAAUCUCAUUCCACCAUAUGUUCAUCGUGAAAGGAAUCAAGUAACAAUACUUUAGCAAAGCAUGGUUUAGAUAAUCUAUGUAAUCAGUUUAAUUAGGAUAUUUUAUUUUGUGCCUUAUCUUAUUUAUCUGUUUGCAAUGGCUGAUAAGCCACGCACAUGUUUUCCCACGUGCUUAUUGAUUUGGGGUUGUUACACACCACGUCAACGAAAAAAAAAUAACUAUAUAUCUUAUUCACUAAUCAUGUUAAACGUGUCUUGUCCAUUUUUUUCCUCAUUAAAAACAACUAAAAUGAAUAAUUUGUUAACCUGGUCUUUAAGUUCACUUUGCAGCCAAAGACAAGAGAGAAAAAUGGCAAUCUCGGCUUGAGUCUUUCACUAGGCGAGACACGCAAGUUUUCUACAAACUGAAUUUGUAAAAGUGUUUUUUAAAGGAUAAUCAAACAUGACCUAAAAAUUAAUUUUGAAAUACUUUUACCAAAAUUCAAGCAUAUUCUUAUGUGGUUGCAUGGCUACAUAUUUCAAACAUAUUUUUAUGUGAUUGGCUACAUUUGAACAAAGUACUAUGUUUUAAAACAUAGUACUUUAAAAAAUAUUUUAAAGUUAUGUUUUAUGAGAUUGGCUACAUAUUUUUAUGUGAUUGGCUACAUUUCAAACAUAUUUUUUAAAAAAUACAGAAAUAAAUAGUUUUUGAAAAUAUAAAUAAGUUAUGAUUUAAAACACGAUUUCAUAUAAACAAAAUUAUAUUCUAAAAUUCAAGUUUAGAAAAUAUUUUUUUUAAACACGAGUUCAAGUAGUAUUCUUUUUUUUAAAAAAAAUUAUGAAGUCCUGAUUACAAUCAGGAAUUUAAUCUUUUUUUAAAUAUGUCAUUUGUUAAAUCAUGACUUUAGGUUUUUUUUAUUUAAUGUUUUAAAACACGACUUCAGUAUUUUUUUAAAUCAUAUUUUAAAACAUAAAUUAUUAAUAUUUAUAAUAUUUUCAAAAUUUAAAGGCAGUACGUAGUAGGUUGUUUUGAGAAGCUAAAGACAGAUAAAUAUUAAUGUCUAAAAGCAAUCCUAAGCCUAUUGGAAAUUUCAUCAGGUAUGAAAAGAAUUUGAUUUAUAAUUUUUAUCCUUUUAAUUUCUGAAAUGUAAUUUUGAUAUUCUUAUGAAUUUUUAUUCCUCAAAUUUUUUAACAUUAGAAAUUUUGAUUUUAUAUUCAAUUUUACGUACACUGACCAUUUGACUUUAUCAUUGACUAAUGGUGUAUCAGUAUUGUAAAGAAGUAAAAAAUAAUAUUUAACAAUUGAAAAUAAUUCAUAUGCAAAUUAAUAAUUAGAUUAAAAUUUUGAUUUUUUUUAAAAUGGAGACUAAAAUAUUAUAAUUUAGCCUUGUUAUUUUCCAUUCAUUAUAUAUGUUAUUUUAUUUUAUUUUUGUAACAAGGAGAAAGAAAAACAAAAGCUAAGGUUCUAAGGUGGAAUUAAUGGAAAAAUAUUUUAAAACUAAUUUAAGGAAUUCAGAGUAUUUAAUAAAACAAGUGAUUGGUUUGGCUAAUUAAAUAUAAAACAAAACAAAGAGACACGCACAUUCAUUUUGUGAACACAAUUUAUUUAUUUAGUUUUUUUUUAACUCUUACAAUUUUUGUAAAGAUUAAAUAUUUUAUUAAAAUAAAAAAUAUUUUUUAAAAUAUUUUUAAUAAGAUAAUAUUUACUUUUAAAAAAAUAAAUAAUCAGAUCAAACUAAAUUAAAAAAAUUAAUUUAAUUUAAUUUGAAUUAUAAGAUUUACUUUAUGAUUGAAGAAAUAAAAAAGAAACUCACUAGUAAAAAUUAAUAAACUGACAGUAAUAUGAACCAAAAAAAAAUUAACUUAUGUAACUUUUUUUAGUUCUUUAUGCCAUUAUUAUCGAAAGUGGCGUUUAGCACUUUGUCUUUUCGGGCACAGUAGGAAAUAAAUACAAAAUAUAGACAGCGUGUGAUGAUCGACACUCCGCAACAAAGACAAAGGACAGGGUUUCGGGUCACAUUAAUUUACGUGGCUCACCGUCACUGAUUGUCUGUACCUGCCAAAGUAUCUACUAUUAUUGAAUGGGGCCUCAUGGAAAGAGGAUAAUAAAAAUAUUGCUCUACUUUAUCAUAAUUUUUUUAUAUUAUUUUUUAUUUUUAUAAAUAAAUAAGAAAGUGAUUUGUCUUUAAUUAUUGUAUUCUCUCGGAAGAUUUGUUUACUAAAAUAAUUAGUAGAACGUGGUGUCAUCUUUCAUUAUUGUUUUUCUUAAAUAUCUCAUCACGUGGUAUUCACAUUUUAUUUAAAAAUAUAUAUGUAUGCCUUCUAAACAACAACUUGUAAUUUAUUUCAGAAAAUAAGGUGAAACCAUCGUGCAGGUCAAGAUAAAAAAUAGAGAAUAAUAUUAUGUUUGGAUUAAAAUUUGGAAAAUAUUUUUAUGAAUUUCAAUGUAUCAAAUAAAGAAAAAAAAAUUAUUACUUUUGGAGUAAAAAUACAAAAAAUAAUAGUUUUUUUGUUCGUGGGUGCUAUCUGUUCAUUAUUUUAGGGAUCUUAAUAAAAUACCAAUAAUUAAUGGGAGCAUAUUACGUUUAUAUUAUCAACAGAGAUUAUGAAAAAUAUUUGGAUUCAUGAUAAUCCCAAAUUGAUGAGUAUGAAAAAUUGUUAAUUUUAUGUUCUUUCUUAACCAAAUGAAGAGAAUACAAUUUGCAUUGUGUAUUCCCUUAUAUUACUUUUAUCCUUGUACUUCAUGGAAAUGAGUUUAGCCAAAAGGUUACUCGUUUUCGUCUUCUCAUUUUUUUUGCAAAGUAUUGAUCAAUUUCAUCAAUUUUUCACCCUCAGAAAUAGAGCCCCCCGAAACGCUUCUGGAAUAGAGCGUUUCAUGAUCAUAAUGCACGAUCGAUUGGAACGAUCUCAUUUCUCAAUUUUUACCUUAUUGGAGACUUGCAGAGUGAAAGUGGGUCAUUCCGUUCUCAGUGUCAAAUCUAAAUUCAUACAGCCGAGGACAAUUUAUACGGCUUCCUUCUUGACUUUAAAAUUUGUCUCAUUCAACAUAGGGAUACUUGCUAAUUAAAUAUCUUUAAAAAUAUUUUCAAUAUAUUUUUAUUAUGAAAAAUAGCUCAUAUUUAGCAGUUAUUGGUAUCUUUUGGAUAUUUUUAUCUUUUUUUCAUAUCUGCAAGCUAUAAAUAAUAAAAAUAUCAAUUUUUAUCACUUAAGUUAAAAAAUAACUGCUAAAUAAAUAUUUUUAAAGAUAUUUUUAAUAUAGCAAUUAUUACUCUUUGAAAUUUUAUGUCUAUUGUAUAAGAUAGAUGUAUCAAUUAUUUUUUUAGUGUGUCUUUUAGUUUAUUUUAAUACUAUUAACUAAUUUUCUUAUUUUUUUAAUUAACGAACAUAAUAAAAAAAAUAUCAACAACAAAUAAAUUUAACUACGAAAAUACAUACAAAGUAACUAAAAAAUUAUGCUUUAAUUUUAUCCAUUUUUUCAUUUUUCAUUAUCUGUAUAUUUUUUCUUUUAAAAAAAUAAAAAACAAAAUUAUAAAAUUUAAUUUAAUAAAUAAGUAAUUUUAAAACCAAUUAAAAAAUUAUAUAAUAUAAUAUUUUAAAUUAAAAAAACAAAAAGGCGAGAAAAAGUAUCAAGUAGUGUAUAUUAGGAAUUAAAUUACAAAUUAAUGUAGAUUGGGAAAAAGUAGGAGAGAGGAGGUGUAUUUACAGGAAAAAAACCUGUCAUGAAUCCAUGCCAGGUUUUUUUUUCUAAUAUAAUUUUGUUUUUUAUUUUUUAAAGAAAAAAUAUACAGAUAAAGAAAAAUGAAAAAAUUGGAUAAAAUUAUAGUACAAUUUUUUAGUUACUUUGUAAUAUUAAAAUAAACUAAAAAACACACUAAAAAAAUAAUUAAUAUAUCUAUCUUAUACAAUAGACAUAAAAUUUUAAAGAGUAAUAAUUGCUAUAUUGAAAAUAUCUUUAAAAAUAUUUAUUUAGCAGUUAUUUUUUGGCUUAAGUCAUAAAAAUUGAUAUUUUUAUUAUUUAUAUGAAAAAAAAAGAUUAAAAUAUCUAAAAGAGGACGGCAAAGAGUCAUCCUAUUUCAACUCUUGACGACGAAAAAGAAAAUAAACGGAAAAAUAUAAAAAAUGUGGAAUUUGUUGGUAACAUCACCAUAACAGAAACAAUUGUCCUAACAUAUUUUCAUCUUAAGUUUUUUCCUUAGCCAAUUGUAAUUGUUUAAGUAUUUUAUUGAUAAUGUAAUAUAAUGUUCUUCUAUAAAUAAGUUGUUAAACAAAAAGUCUUCUCAUUUUUAAUUAAAUCCAAUGACAUAAACAAACUAAUUAUAUUUAGUAAUAUAAUUAUAUUCACCUAAAAAAUAUGUUAAGUAAAUUAAAUAAUAAAACAAAAAUAAUUAUAUUUAAUAAUAUCAUUUUCUUUAAAAAAAUUAAAAAAAUUAUAAAAUUUAAUUUAAUAAAUAAGUAAUUUUAAAACCAAUUAAAAAAAUUAUAUAAUAUAAUAUUUAUAUUUUAUAAUAUUUUAAAUUAAAAAAAAAAAGAGAGAGAACAUCCCAAAUAAUAUAUAUUAGAAAUUAAAUUACAAAGUAAUAUAAAUUAAGAAAAAAUAUGAAAGAUAAUGUAACCCAUACUAAUUAAUUAAUUAAGAGACACUAUCCACAAUUUCUCUCUUUCUUUUUAAAUUUCGAAACAUAUAUUAAAUAGUGUACUAAAAUAUUUCUUUUAUCUUCUAUUAUAAUGGCCAGCAAUGAACUGGACUUGAAUAAUCUUGUCGUAGAUCAGCUAAUUAUUGUUAUUGGGAUAGUUGUUGUUAGUAAUAACUAAUAAGAUUGUGCUAAGCUGGACUUUUUUAUUUUUUCGUUGGGAAAUGCUCGACAGUGGUACGGUAAGAGGCCGAAUAAUCCACCGAAUCAAUUAUAACUUAACACCUUUACUGUAAAAUAUUAAUUUAUUUUAACAUUUUAAAAAUUGCUCUAUUUCCAAAGUUAUCCCUUCACCAGAAUAAUACUCCUCUACCUCCACAUAUUCAAAUGCCUACAAUAAACAAAGGUUGUAAAUCGGAAAUGCAUUUGUAUUCAUAAACAGAAAUCUGAAACACAUCAUUAAACCAAAAACAAACUAGUUCACUAUAUUCAAUUUGGAACCGGAGAUGCUUCGGUUCACCUCGUUGGUGUCGCCAUAUGUCUCAUUCCUAACCUAUCUUCUCGCUCACAAGUCUACGUCCAAGGACCAUCUGGUUUCGCCUGCAUGCAAAUCAUGGCUUAAUUGGCUACAACAUAUUAUAUCCGAUUUUAAGUAGUUACCAGCCUGUGCAAAAGUUGGAGGGUUUUUUUCUUUUUUUCUUUUCAAGAUCACAUGUAUUAUCUAUGAAAUUUCUAAUUAAACUGAAACAAUAGAAUCAAUUGAUUCAUGUGCUUAAUGAUAUGAAAGUAUCUUUUAUCAUACUAUCAUAUCAGCUCCAAAUAGAUCCCUCGUGUACAAAAAAGAAAAGAAAAUGCUAAUUAUGAGAGUCACCCUAUUAUUAAACAUAAAAGCAAAUAAAUGGAAAAACAAUGUGUAACUCGCGGUAGUAUUUCUUUGGACAUCAAAUUAAUUAACUAAUGACCACACAGCGACCCUAUCCAUACAUUAACUAUUUAUCAGAAUCUUUACGCGUUAAUGCUUGAGUCCAAUAAGAGCGACUUCCAACCCAUCAAAGUAUGGAGAUAAAGAAAGAAUAAAUAAAAUCAGAGUGAUUGGCGAAGCAACCAAUAAUAAACUCCAAACGUGUUGGAUUGUGAAUGGAGCCAUUUUCUGUUCUCGAUGAGACUGAAAAGGACAAGGCAUAAGAAAGGACCCAUCACGUGACAUUAUAUUAUUAUUAUCAUAUUGCUGCCCCCACUCGUGAGAUUCGUGUCUCUUGUCCUAUUAAGCAUAUUCAUGUUAUUAAAUUCAACCUCGUGCUGCACGUUCCCUCCUUUAUUUAUUAUUUUAUUUUAUAGUAACAGCUAUGAUAUUAUCUUCCACGUUAUUAUAUUAUUUUAUUUUAUAGAAACAAACAACUAGACAAACUAUGAUAUGAUUAUGAUAUUAUCUUCUACGUUAUUAUAUUAUUUAUUUAUAGAGAGUUGUAGAAAUAUAUUUUCUAUCACAUUUUUAUAAAUAUAGUAUUCUCUCUCUUUAAAAAUUAUAAAAUUAGAAAAUAAAUAAUUUUUUUAAUAAAGUAGAAAUAAUAUAAUAAAAAGUUUGGUAUUUUUUAUUUUAUUCUUAUAUAAUAAAACAAAAUGUUUUGUCUUGACAAACAAUAUAUACCAUACUGUUUUUUUUAUAAAAAAAAAACGGGAUUGCAUUAUUAUUUGAUAAUAGUUAUAUUUUUUACACUAUAUUCAUAAAUUUGACCUAAAUUUGAGAUAUGAAAUAGGGAAGUGCAUGGAACAAAAAAAGAUGGGGAAAUGCGUGGAACAAAAGACGGUAACCGGAAAAAAAAAGGGGGGGCGUCCAAGGAGGAUAGGAUGAAAAUAAAUAGAGUUGGUUGAUGAGGACUUUUAACUCGGUCUAUUUAACGCUCAAUUCGGCUUAAUUUAUUUAUUAUAAAGGUCAAGUCUAUGUUUUUUUAAAAAAAAAUUUAGAUAAAAAUAUUAAGGUCAAAUUAUAAAAAAAAUAUUGUUAAGCUUGACAAAUCGAUUUGUUUAAAUAAUAAUAAUAACUAUUAUCUAUACCAUUUUCAUGACAGAAUGAAGUAACAUAAAGUGUUUAGAGAGUUCACUUGCAUGUGAAAAAAUUUCAAAAAAAAAAAAACUCAAGUUAAAAGGAUAAUGCAACCAAAUUAAUACUUCAAAAGAAAAUAAUGUUUUGUAAAGACAUUUUUAGACAAUUUAAAUUUUUUAUUUGGCUAUAUUAGUAUAAAUCAUCUCUAAUCCAUAUAUUUUUUAAUAUUAUGCUCUUUCUUUUCAUUUUCUUUUGAUAUACUUUGUGUUUUAACACCUUGAAUUCAAUAUGAUUUUGUUUAUCAAUUAUUUUUGAAUUUGUAUAUUACUUAUACGAAAUUUUAUAAGUUUCUUUUUUUAGUUAGUAUUUCACUAGGUUUUAAAAUAAUUAUUUGGUCAAAGACGUCUUUAAGCAGACUUUUAAAUAGGCUUGUAAGCUAAGAAGUCUAUGACAGGUAAUAAGUCAAGCUAAAGCCUUAUGUAUUCAAUUCAAGUCGAGCUUAAAUCCAAUAAAACUUGACUUGGUUUGACUCAUUUUCACCCCUACAUGAGGGUAACAUUAUCGUCUGAUUUGAUUGAAUAAGAUUAAAAAAAAUAAUUUGAAUUGAAAAGAAAAUAAAAUGAAUGAAAAAUUUGAAUUUUUAUCUUUAUUAAUCGAUUUUACUUUUUCUUUUUCUUUUUUUUUAAUAAUCAAACAAAAGAAAAUAUUUUAUUACUAUUUGUGUUUUUUUUCUUUCCUCCUAUUUUUUAUUCUACCAAACAACAUAGAGAAAAUUCAAGGGUUUGAGAUUUAGAAAUAAGACCGAGGUAAUUAAGUGACUGAAAAAAAAAAUGGAGGUUGAGAUUUUAAAAUACGAGAGGGCCGGGGUGAAGAAGGGUGCAUGACUGUUUGAAAUUUUGAUAUGGGAGAGUGACCCAAAAAAAUGAGGGAUUGGUGAAUUUUUUUUUUAAAUUAUUAAUUUAAAAUAAUUUCUUAACGAUUAAUUUGAUUUGGUUAUUUAUUGAAUGUUAAUGUAGAAAGAUUGAUUUUAUAAUGAUAACACAUCCUGUUUUCUCUUUUAAUUUUAAAGACAAUUAUUUCAUUAUUAUUUUAAAUUAUUCUUAUAAAAUAUUACCUUAUAUAUACACACACACACACACACAGAUAUAUAUAUAUAUAUAUAUAUAUAUAUAUAUANNNNNNNNNNNNNNNNNNNNNNNNNNNNNNNNNNNNNNNNNNNNNNNNNNNNNNNNNNNNNNNNNNNNNNNNNNNNNNNNNNNNNNNNNNNNNNNNNNNNUAUAUAUAUAUAUAUAUAUAACUUAUCGAAACUUGCUAAUACUUUUUUUUUAACAUAAACCAAAUUAUAUGAUAUCAUUGAUAACAAGAGAAUAGGUACAAUGUGGAGCAACGUGAUAAAGAAAAAUACCAGUGUUGUUUGUAGCUAGCCACCCUUGCAAGAGUGUGAAAACUUGCAAUUACUUCUCCACUCUAUUCACUAAUAAUGCUUAAAUAUUAUAAGAUAGAUCUAAACAUGUUAUAAAUAAAUUGUUGGUUAAAAUGUUUUUUUUUCACUCUUAUUUUUUUAAAUUCAUAAUUUUAGUUCAUUUAUUUUUUAAUUAAGAUAUUUCAUCCCUCACUUUUAAAAGAUUUAUAAUUUUAGUCUCCCAUUUUUUAAAUGUGACAUUUUGUCUCCCAUAUUUAAAAUACUUAAUUUUAGUUAUUACUAUCAAUUUCAAAUAUUAAUAUAUGUAUUCUAUAAAUAUUGAUUAAUGUGUAUAUAUUUAUUAUCUACAUGACAAAUAUUCUUUUUAAAAAUUAUUUGAUUACUAACAAGUUUAAUUUAUUAAAUAAAUAAUUAAAAAGUACAUAAUUAAGUAAUUUAAAAUUGACAAAAGGAACUAAAAUCACAUUUUUUUUAAAUAGGAACAAAAUAGCUCCAUUAAAAAAUAAAGAGACUAAAAUUAUAAAAUUUUAAAAGUGAAAAACAAAAUGUUUCAAUUAAAAAAAAAUAAAAGAACUAAAAUAAAAAAUUUUAAAAAAAGAAAGACAAAAAUUAUAUUAAUUUAGACUAAAUUCUUUUAAUUUUACGCUAAAUCACUUUAAACUUUAAUGAUUUUAGUGUCGGACACAAGUAUAUCGAGCUUAAAUGGAUUUAUUCCGUUUUGUAUCCAAAAUUAAUGUGAAAAUGAAUACUUUUUAUUAUUAGUUAAAAAGUUAAACUAAAAAAUUACGAAUCCUACUUAUUCUUUAGUAAAUAUCUCUCGUGAUUUUAUAGCUUUCAACAAAUUAGACUUAAUUAUAUAAUUCUUAUCUUAAUUAUAAUUAAAAUUUCAAUUGGAUCUAUUAAUUAUUAAACCAUUCAAUCAAGUCUUUUAAUUAUUUAAAACAUUAGAUUUCAAUCUUUUAAUUGUUUAAAAGUUGAAUUAGAUCCUUUAGUUUUAUUUUAAUGUCAUAUAGGAUCCUUUAAUUAUUUAAAACAUUACCACCAAGUCCUCUUGUAUGAUAAAAUAUAGAAUUUUUCAAAGUAAUUUCUUAGAUUCAAUUGUAGUGUUUUAAAUAAUUAAAAGAACAUUUGUAAUACAGUUAAAGAAAUCUGAUUGAAUUUUAAACUUUUUUAAAUAAUUAAAAGAAUAUAGUAAUUUCUUAGAUUCUUUUAUUAAACUUUUUGAUAGUUGAGAGACUCGAUUAAAUUUUUUUAAUACAGUUAAAGAAUCUGAUUUAAUUUUUUAAUAAGUAAGGGAUCCAAUCAAAUCUUUUUAAACAACUAAAAAAUAUGCUUAAAAUUUUUAAUAAUUAAAAGAUCUAAUUAAAUUUGUAAUUAUAAUUAAGUAACCAAAUAUAUAAUUAUAUAUUAUAAGAGAGAGAGAAGUUGUUUAGUAGGAAAAACGCUGUACGAAAAACAACAUACUCCAGUGAUAGUUAUUUCACCUUAUCUGAGCAUGAAAUUAUGAUUGGAUAACCAGGAAAUGAGGAAAAAAAUGGUUUCCAAUAAAAUAUCACUCGAAUAUUUGUCCUUAUUCGUGUUUAACAUUUUCCUACUAUUUAUCUUUUAUGAAGAAAAAAUGAGAAAAUGUUUUAUAGACAUUCAAAUGUGUUUUUUUUUUAUCGAUAAAUAAUAAUUAUUAAUUGUUAAUUUUUUUUAGCAAAUGAAAUCGAACUCAUAGUAAUUUUUUUCCUUUACCACCCAAUCAACUUUAGACAUUUAAUGUAUUAUCUAAUCUAGAAAGAGAGUAAAAAAAUGAUAAGUAUAAUAAAGUUUAUAAUAUGAUAAGAAAAGAAAAAUAAAAAUAAAUAAAAGAUACUAAUGAAAUGUUUAAAAUAAAGAAUAACUUAUAUAUUAUUACUAUAAAAAAAUACAUUACUUCAGGUUUGUCAUCUAGCCACUAGUUUGUGAGGAAAUUGUGAGCACGACUUUCUGACGCGUUAUCGUUGUGUAGUGUGUAAAGGGCUAAAGGCAAAUACCAUAACAGCGCAAAAGGUAAAUAUGAAAACAGGACAAAGCACAUGUUCUGAUGUUCGCUAUGCAACUAAAUAUAAAUAAAAUUAAUUAAUUUAUAUACAAAUUAAGAAAAUUAAUUAAUGUCAUUUGAUUUAUUAAUUAUAUUUAAAAAUUAUUUUUUUUACAAUAAAAUAAAAUUAUUGAAGUACUAUUUAUUGAUACUUAAUAUUAAGGAAAAAAUAUCAGAAAUAAAAUCUCAAUUAAUUUAUGAAUAUUUUUAUGAUAAUGCCAUUAAACAAAUUAAAAUAGUUAAAUUUUGUUUAUAUGAUUAUUUAUACUUAAUUGAGGAAGAAGUAUUAACUAUGAAAAAUAAAAUAAAAAAUAUUAUAUUAAUAAGAAUAUAAAUAUUAUUUCUUAAACUAAUAAUUUAAAUACUCAAUACAAUAUAUAACACGCACUCGCUCGUUAAUUCCUAUUUUAGGACACUCUUAAUUAGAAGUGGUAAGAGGAAUUUUGCAGUGGUGAUUGAUAAUUAAAUGAAGAAUGAAACAAAAAAAUAAAUAAUGGAAGUGGUAACUCGAUCGGCUAAAGUCAAUAGUACUACUAGUAUUAUCUUAUCUUUGGUCCAUUCAAUGUCAUGUUCGAGAGAGAAAUGUCUUUGUCUUUCAUUUACCUUCAUCGUGAUCGCAUCUUGCAGUGCCACGCGAGUAAGUACCUCAACAGAAAAAAAGAAGAAGCUUAUCCGUUAGAUUUUGAAAUAUCUAAUACAUACAUACUACGUACUAGUUCUUGUCAGCUUUUAUAGUCUCUAUAAAAGGAAGCUUCCUAGGCUAGUGUUCUCCACAAGCUAGGCACAACAAAACCACAAUCUAAGUAAGUGUUGAGAGAAGAGUGCGUUUGUUUGUUUGAAAUUAAGUAGUAAAGAUGUUUGGAAUCAUCGGAGGAAACAAGGGUCACAAGAUAAAGGGGAACUUGGUGAUUAUGCGAAAGAAUGUGUUGGAUAUCAACAGCAUCACCAGUGUUAAGGGUGUCAUUGGAACCGGCAUUAACAUCAUUGGAGGUGUCGUCGACACCGUUACUGCUUUGGCGUCCCACAUCUCCAUCCAGCUCAUCAGUGCCACCAAGGCUGAUGGUAUAAUUACUUACUACUUCACUUCUCGUAGAUACAUUUGCUCCAUAGUAGGGGAAAAAAAAAAGACCUUUUAAGAUAACAGACAUGUUGAAGUUAUGAUAACCCAACUCAAAAAAUUUCUUCUAGUAAAAUGCUACAAAGAAUAGUUUUAAAAUAUACAUUAUACUUUAACUAAUAUUGACUUUUUUUCAUUAAAAAAUUAACCUUUUGUCUUUCAAUUCAGCCGAAGAAAUAAAACGUGGAUUGAACUGUACAAAAAAAAUCUUGUGAAGAAUAAACGUAAAAUGAUCAGUAUACAUAUUUUUUAUAGUAAUAAUAUGAUGUAUCAAAUGCAUUGUUUUAGAGACUUGAAGCUUAUUAUAAAAAUAUUUAUGUCUUUUGAAAAUGAUUAAUUUACUUUUGUCUGCCGAAGGAUAUAAAAUGGAGUAUUAUAGGUGAUUUUAUAAUUAAAUUAUAAUUUAUUCUUGAAAGAUUAAAUUUUGAUCUAUGAAGAGUGUACUGCGAGGGUACGUAACCCAAUAAAAUACCGCCCCUGUUUAAUUUAUCACUAAAUUUGAAUUAAAAAUAUGAUUAAAUAUGUUUUUUAUAUUGUUUUUAUAUUAUUAUCUCAAAUUAACUUUUGAUCAAUCAUGUACAUAUAAAUGUUAAUGAUGUGUCACAUAGAUUGUCACUUCCUUAAACUUAAUUACUAACACAUCAUCAAUAUCACAUUAUUUUUUAUUAUUUAAAUUAUUUAAAAAUUUUGAUUCUCUUUCUUUUUCUUUACUUCUCCGACGAAAACCAUCACCGCCAUCCAACCCCACAUCACCUAUGCUAUCCAAUCCUCAUGUCGAGGUAGUUGCUCGCCAAUAUCUUGAAUGCCGAGAAAUCACACAUCAGAAAGUGGAUGUGCGUGUUGACUCGACCCAACCCGACCCUAAUAGGUUCAAGUCCACUCACUUCUUAUUGUUGUUCAUGGUGAACACAAUCACCCUCUCCUUGCUCCAACAUGUGCUAACAAUUCCGUCCAUGAAGUUUUGGAUACUCGACAUUGUCGUUGUCGCUAUCCUUGAUUUCGAUUCCAUAAACCAAUCCAAAUUCCCUAUCAGGAUUAUCGACUUCAUUGUUGUUUCCGUCAAUAGAAACUUCCGAUCCGAAAAGGAAGAAGGAGAAGAGGAGGCAGAGGUUGAGGUCAGCAUCGAGGGCAGAGUCAACGACACAAUUAAUGGUGGUGGCGCUGAGUUGGACGAGAGUGGUGGCAUGGGGUUGUUCUCAGAGAAGCAAAAGAAGGAGAAUUAAUUUUUUUAAAUAAUUUAAAAAACAAAAAAUGAUGUAACAUUGAUAUGUUAGUAAUUAUGUUAGAUAAUGUGACACUUUAUCUCUAUGUUACGAAACUAACAGUAGGUAUUACUUUAAAAUAUAACAAAAUUUAUAUGCAUAAUUGACCAACAGUAAAUUUGAAGAAAUAAUCAAUUUUCUAUAUACCAAAAACAUAUUUCAGACUUUAAAAUUAUAUCAAAUGCAUUUUACGGCAAGUUUCGUAUGAGAUAAAAUUUGAUGUGAAAUUUGGUUUGAUAGGACAUGGGAAAGGUAAAGUUGGAAAGGCUACAAAUUUAAGAGGACAAGUGUCGUUGCCAACCUUGGGAGCUGGCGAAGAUGCAUACGAUGUUAAUUUUGAAUGGGACAGUGACUUCGGAAUUCCCGGUGCAUUUUACAUAAAGAACUUCAUGCAAGUUGAGUUCUAUCUCAAGUCUCUAACUCUCGAAGACAUUCCAAACCACGGAACCAUUCACUUCGUAUGCAACUCCUGGGUUUACAAUUCAAAAAACUACAAGACUGAUCGCAUUUUCUUUGCCAACAAUGUAAGCCACAUAUAUUGUCACAUUACUACAUGAUGCGUACGGUGUUUAAUAUUUAUUGUUGUUGAAUUUUACAACAUAACAACAUGGAUGAUGAAAAAGUUGUUAUACAUAUAAAUUAUAAUGCAGACAUAUCUUCCAAGCGAGACACCAGCUCCACUUUUGAAGUACAGAGAAGAAGAAUUGAAGAAUGUAAGAGGGGAUGGAACUGGAGAGCGCAAGGAAUGGGAUAGGAUCUAUGAUUAUGAUGUCUACAAUGACUUGGGCAACCCGGAUAGCGGUGAUAAAUAUGCACGCCCCGUUCUUGGUGGUUCAGCCUUACCUUACCCUCGCAGAGGAAGAACCGGAAGAGGAAAAACUAGAAAAGGUUACUCACUACUCACUACUUUAUUAUACUUCUGCUGUUUUUCUUUUAGCAUAACUGAAUUGGUCAAGUGCGUUCCUUAGAAUACUUAGUUACUCUGCUGUAAAAUCUUUGAGUAGUUGUUGUAAUGUUGUUGUUUGUAGUCGCUAACGUAUAUUAUGUGCCUUCAUCUUAACUAACAGAUCCCAACAGUGAGAAGCCGAGCGAUUUUGUUUACCUUCCAAGAGAUGAAGCAUUUGGUCACUUGAAGUCAUCAGAUUUUCUCGCUUUUGGAAUCAAAUCUGUAUCCCAAGAUGUCUUGCCUGUCUUGACUGAUGCAUUCGAUGGAAAUAUUUUGAGCCUUGAGUUUGAUAAUUUUGCUGAAGUGCGCAAACUCUAUGAAGGUGGAGUUACACUACCUACAAACUUUCUUAGCAAGAUCGCCCCUAUACCAGUGAUCAAGGAAAUUUUUCGAACUGAUGGCGAACAGUUCCUCAAGUAUCCACCACCUAAAGUGAUGCAGGGUAUGCUACAUAUUUUGAAUAUGUGGAAUAUUAUCAAUAUACUCCUGUUUUUAUUCAACAUAUUUAAUCACGUGGAUGAAUUUUGAACUGUUUUUAUUUGGUGCAGUGGAUAAGUCUGCAUGGAUGACUGAUGAAGAAUUUGCUAGAGAAACGAUUGCUGGUGUAAAUCCAAACGUCAUUAAGAUUCUUGAGGUAACAUACUACAUGCAACCAAAAGCUUGGAUGCAUCACUUUGAUUGUUAAAUUUGAGAUCGCCAACCUAAUGUCAUUGUGUGCUAAAUUUAUUCCAGGAGUUCCCACCACGUAGCAAGCUAGAUACACAAGCCUACGGUGAUCAUACCUGUAUAAUAACAAAACAACAUUUGGAACCUAACUUGGGUGGGCUCACUGUUGAGCAGGUAAUAAUAUGAGUAUUUAGUUUCACAUUAAAGUUAUUUCACUAUAAUGUUUCUAUUAUUGCUUUGUAACAAUUUUUUAUAGUUAUUCCAACGAACAGAGAUUAAUUAAUUAAUCAUACUUGGUUAAACAGGCUAUCCAGAGCAAGAAGCUGUUCAUCUUAGAUCACCAUGACUAUCUCAUUCCAUAUUUGAGGAAAAUAAAUGCAACUACCACAAAGACUUAUGCUACCAGAACCAUAUUUUUCUUGAAAAGUGAUGGAACUUUGACGCCAUUGGCCAUUGAGUUAAGUAAGCCGCAUCCUCAAGGUGAAGAAUAUGGUCCUGUUAGCGAAGUCUACGUGCCUUCGAGCGAAGGAGUUGAAGCUUAUAUUUGGUUAUUGGCAAAGGCUUAUGUUGUUGUAAAUGACUCGUGCUACCAUCAACUCGUUAGCCAUUGGUAUGAUAUUGUCAAUUGACAAUGAGAUCCAUGAAAUUAAAUUUGUUAAUGUUUUUAUGAAUAAAUGAUUAACAUAUUAAUUCACGUGGAUUGCAGGCUAAACACUCAUGCGGUUGUUGAGCCAUUCGUCAUAGCAACAAAUAGGCAUCUGAGUGUGGUUCACCCUAUUUACAAACUUUUGUUUCCUCACUAUCGUGACACCAUGAAUAUUAAUUCACUUGCCCGCAAAUCCUUGGUCAAUGCAGACGGUAUUAUAGAGAAAACAUUUUUGUGGGGUAGGUACGCUUUGGAAAUGUCUGCUGUUGUUUACAAGGACUGGGUUUUCACUGAUCAAGCACUGCCCAAUGAUCUUGUCAAGAGGUAAGUAAUCUUGUUAAGUUUAUUAACAAAUUAGUAAUAUAUGUUGCUUAAAAAAUAAAGAAUCUAAAUCUAUUUAAGUCAUCAACGACAAAGGAAAUAAAGGCUUCAAGUUUGAUAUAAUCAAUGUUAUUUGGGUGCUUUUAAUUCAGAGGAGUUGCCGUUAAGGAUCCAUCUGCUCCCCAUGGAGUUCGGCUUUUGAUUGAGGACUAUCCUUAUGCUUCUGAUGGGCUAGAGAUAUGGGAUGCCAUCAAGUCCUGGGUGCAAGAAUAUGUGUCAUUCUACUACAAGUCAGAUGCAGCAAUUCAACAAGACCCCGAACUCCAAGCUUGGUGGAAAGAACUUGUCCAAGUGGGUCAUGGUGAUUUGAAAGAUAAGCCAUGGUGGCAAAAGAUGCAAACUUGUGAAGAGUUGAUUGAAGCCUCGGCCACCCUCAUAUGGAUCGCUUCAGCCCUUCAUGCAGCUGUUAACUUUGGACAGUAUCCAUAUGGAGGUUUAAUCUUGAACAGGCCAACCAUUAGCAGGAGAUUCAUGCCUGAGAAAGGGUCUGCUGAGUAUGCUGCUUUGGCUAAGAACCCUGAGAAGGAGUUUUUGAAAACUAUUACUGGCAAGAAGGAGACCCUCAUUGACCUUACAAUUAUAGAAAUCCUGUCAAGGCACGCAUCUGAUGAGUUCUACCUUGGGGAGAGAGAUGGUGGUGACUUCUGGACUUCUGAUGCUGGUCCACUAGAGGCCUUCAAGAGGUUGGAAAGAAGCUUCAAGAGAUUGAACAUAAGCUUAUACAGAAGAACAAGGAUGAGACGUUGAGAAACCGCACUGGGCCAGCUAAAAUGCCUUACACUCUGCUCUAUCCUUCUAGUGAGGAGGGAUUGACUUUCAGAGGAAUUCCCAACAGUAUCUCUAUCUAAGGGCUCUCUCAUUGAGGUUGCUGUACUACUCUGCCUGUUUUUCAAUAAUGUGAAAUAGGAGGAAUAUGAUUCCUUCAUCUACCUACGUAUGGUCAAGUUACAUUUGGGGUGGUUGAAUGUUCUCGUGUUUGCUGUAUUCUGUUUUUAUAACAGAUCGAAGAGAAAGCAAUAAAGGCAAUCACGCAUGUUUCAACAAUGAUAGCUGGCAUGACAAAGUGCAAACUAGAAUAAAUUAUCAUCCUAUCUAAACGAUUUCCAUUACAGCAAGGGUUGUCAUUAAAAUUUUAUUGCCCGUGUAUUCAUAUUUUGCAUUGCCUCAAAGCUACCACUUCCUCAACUUAGUAUUUAUUUCAAAAAUCCAUUUGCAAUCCAUUUCAAAAAUCACAUUCUGCAGUCCUAUUUCCGUGAUCCAGUGCAUGGAUUGCAGCAAACCAAGCGUCUCACCUUCGUUGACUUGCUGCACUGAAUUUAUCAUCACAAGGUAGGAGGAAAAGGUGAUAAAAUUAACAACAUGGAUUUAAGAAUUAAUACUAUAUUUUCGUACCUCUUUUGCAUUUUUAAUUUUUUUUCUUCUUAAAAAUACUAUCUCUUUUCAUUAACUCUUUUUUGAAACAUAUUUUGAUAUUUAUAAAUAUUUUUAAAUUUAGUUUCUGAAUUAUAUUAAAAAUAUCCUGGAAAUUAUCAACGUUUAUUUCUUCUUUUCUUUUCUCUUUUUCAUUAUUACAACAAUUACUAGUUACUAGUGUGUGCAGAAAAAGGUAGAUUGAUGUAUUAUGUGUUAAAACUUUUAGGAAUACAUUGAAAUGUUUUUAUGUAUUCUGAAAAUUGGUUUUUUAAAUAUAUAAUUUCUGUAAAAGUGUAUUUCAAAAACUAGUUCUCAAUAAACCUGCAAAACUAGAAAGGAAAAAAAAUGAUAAAUGGCGCCACUCACCACCGAAGACAAUGGGGAGAGUGAAGGAGAGGGUGUUAAACAGGGAUGCAAAUAGAGACAGAAAGGGAGUGCGAUGACUGAGAACUUUUCGUGGGGGAUGGAUGGAAUGAAGAAGGUUUUAGAAUAAUGUUUUACAAAAAAAAGAAAAAGAUCAAAGGUUGGUGCAAUAAGUAAAAAAACGCAAAGGAACACCCUACUUUUUACUAGUCUCUGGUUUGGGCCAAUUGCUUUAUAGAGUUAGCCUAAUCGGGCCGAGAGAAGAAUAUUCAUAUAAAUUUUGGCAUUGCCAUUGGUCCCUGGAUGACUUUGUUGGAUUUUACAAAAAUACUCUUUCCCAUUGAAGUAUGAUUCCGUUGUACAAGGAAAUCAUACUUCUAUUGCAAUAAAUAGGGUGCCAAAAAAAAAUAAUACAAAAAAAUGUGAUUCUAUUAUAUAUUUAUAUUGAAUUUUGAAGUUUUGAACUCUACAAUUUUAAAGAGAUAUAACUUUUUACUCAUAUCAGAUUUGAGUUUAUAAUAUAUCUAUUUUACAUACUUUUUGAGAGAAAUGUGUGACAACUUGGUGUAACACUUUUGCCAAAAAAAACAAAAUACCUUCCUUCUAUAAAGGAAUUUUCCAAGUCCUAUGCUGAAAGAAGAAUAUUUGUCAAAUAUAAUAAUGAAAACUUGAUUUUAUUAUGUGUCAAAAUUCAAACAAUUAAAGAAUCAAAUUUUAUUAUGUGUCACAUACAAAAUAACAACAAAAUUAAAAUCAUUGUUGUUUACAAAACCCCAAAAAAUGGAAUAUGAUUAUGUUGUGUUAACAUAAUCAUACUUUUAUUGAGUCAUUGAUAAAAUGAAAUCAUAAUAGCCUUAAAAUACUGUGGGGGUUGGGAGUGUCAUGAGAAUAAAAUGUGAAAGGAAGGGAAUUGUUUGUGGGUGUAGGAAAGUGAGGUCGUAGGAAGAUAAAUUAGCAAUUACUGCAAGGACCAAUAAUAAACCCCUAUAAAUUUCAGCACUCGAAUACGAAUAAAUUAUUGGGGCAUAACUGGAUUUGGGUCUCCUGCCGUUGAAAAAAUUUACAGGUAGUGCAGUUUAUAAUUUCAUCACAUACUUCUCAUUAUUAAUUAAAUAAAAUAUCAAUAGAAAAAGUUUGUGGUGUCAUGUUAAAUUGCACUCCCAUUGACUUUUUUCUAACGGCAGGAGAUCCAAAUCCGGGCAUAACAAAAAAUUAAAAAACACUUAUUCUUCAUACAAUAAAAUUAAGAUUUCAUUCCUAAAUUGCACUCCCUUAUCUUUAUUUUAGAUUAUAAUUUAAUUUUUAAUUUUUUAAAAGUUAUAAAAUAGUCCCUUUACUUAUUAUAAAUUAUAAAAUAUUUCUUUAAGUAUUUUUUCAUAACAUAUUUAUCUAAAAAAAAUAUUAUUUCAAGAGUAAACAUGCAAUAAAAAAAAUACUCAAGAGACCAAAAGAAUGGGAGAAAGCUACUUCUCAUGAAAUCACACUAAAUAUGAGUAUAUUUGAAUUUCGGAUGGGAGUGCUCCAAUGGAACAAAAACAUGUUUAAUAGUAAAAUCAAUUUAGGUUCAUGUUUGAUUAUCCCAAAAGUUUGUUUGAGAGUAAAAUUUGACUAAAAUCUCAAAUUUAAAUAUGUAAGACUUGGAGUGUUUUUUCAAACUCAAUUUUAUAAAUUUUAGCUUAUAAACUUAAUUCAAACGCGCACCUAUGGUAAAUCACGGCCAUAACUUGCAAGCCAGAAAAUAGGACAACUUAUAUAUUAUUUAAAAUACAACUUAGUACAUAUUAAAAUAAGAUCUUUAUUAUAAUUUUAUCUCAUCUUAUUUUUACUCAACUAUUAUAUCCUAUCCAGGAUGGAUCCAAAAUUCUAUAAUAGGGCCUGGAAUUUUUUUCUUCUUUUAUAAUUAUUUUUAUUUAAAUAUAUAAUUUCUAAUAAACAAUUAAUUAAUACAUAAAUAAUAAGUUCACACAUAUUUAUUAAUUUUUUUACAUAUAUUUUAGAGAAAUUAUAUUCAUCUUUACUGUCAUUGCAAACAUUCCAGAAACCUCGUCAAUAUAAGAAAAAAUGUUUUUUAAUCUGAAGUAUUAGCAGAAAGUAGGAAGUAUGUACAACAACAUUAGCUGAGAAUGAAAGUAUGUAAAAGAUGCAUUGUUUACUGAUUUAUACAAUAAUACAUUUUUUAUUUUUAUUGACAGAUAUAUGGAUGUAAUUUUGAUUCUCCGACACUAAUUAUUUAAUGAGUUACUUAUCUUUAAACACAAUUACUUAUUUGUUUAUUAGUGAUGAUUUACGUAUCAUUAUUUAAAAUUAAGCUUUAUUACUUAUAUAAACAAUAGUUGUUUAUGAGUAAAAAUAUAUAUUUUUAAUAUAAAAUAUAGUAUAUUUUGUUGUUUAAUUUAAGUAAGAUUUUAAAAAUUAAGUCAUAUCUUAAAAAAAAUUGUCACAAAUGUAGGUAUCAUUAAAAAUUAAAGAUUAUGUCAUUUUAAAAAUUUAAAGGAUUUGUAAAAUUAUUCGGUUAAAAAUUAAUUAAUAUUAAUUGAAUGGUCAGAAAUUAAGGAUGAAUUAAUUAAUUUGAUUAUAGUUUUUAAAAUUAUUUAUUUUGGUAAUGUUUGUAUUUUGUUCUUUAAAAAAUGUCUGUAUAAUAUUAUAAUAAUAAGAAAAAGCAAUUCCAGAAUUUUAAUGUUCAUGCAAAUUAAUAUUACUUGGGGGCUAGACCAAUCACAGGAACGCAGACGGAUGCACAACCAGUUAUCAUUUUUGAAAAUAUAAAAAUAUUGGAAAAAAUUAUAUAAAACCAAAAAAUUUGAAGCCCCGAAUGAACAUACUACCAAUCUGAUUUUGGAUUUGUAAAUUUAUUAUUUAUUAUAGAUUAUAGGUUAUAGAUACGACAACAACAUAAACAUAACAAAAACCUAAACUCACUCAGUCCUACGAUACGAUUCUCUUCCGCCUCCCUUCCCUUCAACUCCACGGCGCAGAUCCGAGGAGUUUGGGAAACCCUAAUUCAUUCCUCUUUGCUUCUUCUAUCUCUAUUCCUCUAACACCAGGUAACCCUCCAGUUUUACGCUUUUCGAAGCCAUUUAUUCACUCAGGGUACUGAAAUUUUGUUCUCCUGUUACAUAUGUGAUGUCCCGUGGAGGAUUUUUUUUUUUGUUUUUUCAUUUGACACAGAUUAGAGUGAUGUUACGGAUUUUGUUCAGUUUGAUUUUUUUUUUUUUUUGAGUUAUUGGUGCUCCUGGAUUGUUCUUAAGCUUGUUUUUCUUAUCUGACAUCUGCGAAAAGAAAAAAGGACUUAUGAAAGCAAGGAAUCCCUUUUCCUUCUGUUUCUUUCGUUGUCUCACGAUAUUUUUGGGACUUUCUUUUGAUAUCGAUUUUAGAUUUUAGAUUUUGUAGGCUUUUCGACUUACACUUGUCUGUUUAAGUUUAACGAAGUUUUUGUUCUGCAGUGAUGGCAGGUUUGGCUCCAGAAGGAUCGCAGUUUGAUGCUCGGCAAUAUGAUUCUAAGAUGAAUGAAUUGUAAAUUCCUAUACUACAUAUUAUCCACUUUGUGUGAUGCUUGAAUUCUAUAUUAUGUUUUUUUUGUUAUUUUAAUUAAUGUCUUGAUAUUGAAAAACAGGCUUUCCGCCGAUGGACAAGAAUUUUUCACUUCAUAUGACGAAGUCUAUGAUAGUUUUGAUGCAAUGGGCCUUCAAGAAAAUCUUCUGAGAGGCAUAUAUGCUUAUGGUAUGGCAAAUUAUUUUUCCUUUCUUUCUUCAAUUGCUUAUUUAAUUCUUGUGGAAUACUAGGAAUAUACUAUUUUAAACACACUCUUGACAAUGGGUUGACACACUCUUUGCUUUCAAGGCAACUGAAUUGACCUUUUAAUGAAUAAAGCAACAAUGAAGUGUAUGUUUAAGAGAGUGUUCCUAGCAUUCCUCUUCCUACUUAUGUCAGUGUGGUAGUGAUGUGGACUUGCUGAUUUGAUAAUUUGAUUAAUGCAUUUAGACAUUUUCCUCUUAUUGUUUACCCUGUUGAAGUUAUAUUUAUUCCAUUCUUUAUCUGUGCAAUCACCAUAUCAAAGACCUUUUUGCAAUUUUAAUGAUAGUUCCAGCAAAUGAGCAAAACAAUUUAAAAAUGCUGGGAUAACUGAAUGUACUGAAGUUUUGCUUUGAAGUUUAAAAGUCAUUAAGAUUUAUUUAUAAAAAGGGAAAGCCUUGGUGCAACAAUUGGGGUUGUCACCAUUAACCUGGACUCAUAGGACCAUGGUAUGGAAAUGACUUUUGCAAAGUAAGACUUCCUUCUAGACUGCAUGGACCCUUUGACGGUGAAAAUUUAUAUCAUCGAGUGAUAUACCAUUUAAAGGGUAUUGGCUUUUUUUUAAUCACAUGUCUGGAAUUAUUCUUUUCUGAAUUUACAUUGAUUUUCAUUUCAAAUUAAUUUCUGACUUUUUAUUGUUUUGAAUCUAUCGUUGAUGCUGAGCAUCAGUAUUGCAUUUUUAGAACAAAGCAAAUGUCAUAUGCAGUUAACUCUACCACAAGACGAUGUGUGAUUUUUAAUUCUUGUUCUUUAGGUUUUGAGAGGCCUUCUGCAAUCCAGCAGAGGGGAAUUGUUCCUUUCUGCAAGGGUCUGGAUGUGAUUCAGCAGGCUCAGUCUGGAACUGGAAAGACAGCAACGUUCUGUUCAGGAAUUUUGCAGCAGCUUGACUAUGGAUUGGUUCAGUGUCAGGCUUUGGUUUUGGCACCAACAAGGGAGCUUGCACAGCAGAUUGAGAAGGUUAUGCGAGCUCUAGGUGAUUACCUUGGUGUCAAGGUUCAUGCUUGUGUUGGUGGGACCAGUGUUCGUGAGGAUCAGCGCAUUCUCCAAGCUGGUGUCCAUACUGUUGUUGGCACUCCUGGGCGUGUAUUUGACAUGCUACGGAGACAGUCUCUUCGUCCAGAUCACAUAAAGAUGUUUGUUUUGGAUGAGGCUGAUGAAAUGCUUUCUCGUGGUUUCAAGGACCAGGUUUGAUGGUUUUCCAUGUUUGUUUAAAACAUUGAAUUGUUUUUUUUUCUUCUGAUUCCUGACUGUCAUCUAAACGUUCUUUCAUGCAUGUUACCAAUAUUUUUUAUUUUGUUGAAAUAUUUUUCUUUAUUUAAAACUCACAUAUGUGCUAGAUGAAGUCAUCUUGUGUUGACAUUUUAUAUUUUUCGUGCAUGAAAUGCAGAUCUAUGACAUCUUCCAGCUUCUGCCGGGUCAAAUUCAGGUUGGAGUGUUCUCUGCUACAAUGCCACCUGAGGCCUUGGAGAUUACGAGGAAGUUCAUGAAUAAGCCAGUGAGAAUCCUGGUAAAGCGUGAUGAAUUGACCCUUGAGGGUAUCAAACAGUUUUAUGUGAAUGUUGAUAAGGAAGACUGGAAACUAGAGACAUUAUGUGACCUUUAUGAGACUUUGGCUAUCACCCAGAGUGUCAUCUUUGUGAACACAAGGCGUAAGGUGGACUGGCUCACUGACAAGAUGCGAAGCAAUGACCAUACAGUCUCAGCCACCCAUGGAGACAUGGACCAAAACACUCGUGACAUCAUCAUGCGGGAAUUUCGCUCUGGCUCUUCUCGAGUUCUAAUUACCACUGACCUCUUGGCUCGUGGUAUAGAUGUACAGCAGGUGUCUUUGGUUAUAAACUAUGAUCUGCCAACCCAACCUGAAAAUUAUCUUCAUCGCAUAGGACGAAGUGGGCGUUUUGGAAGAAAAGGUGUUGCCAUAAACUUUGUGACUUUGGAUGAUGCAAGAAUGCUGUCUGAUAUUCAAAAGUUCUACAAUGUGACUGUAGAGGAGUUGCCAUCAAAUGUUGCUGAUCUGCUCUGAUGGGUUAAUUUUCAUUCUUUGUUAAGUCAUCAGAGGGCUAUUACUUUUUGCCAAUUAUUAUUUUGUGCUCUUUGUUUUUCUUUUUCAAAUUUUAGCAUUAGAGUUCCAAUACACCUGACUUUAUUUUUAUAAUGGAUUCUAUAAAAUUUGUUUAUUUGCUUAAUUGUUGUUCAAGCCUUUUUGUUUAUAAUUUUGUGUUUAUGUAUUUUGUAUUUGAACAAUGCCUUCAUCAACUCUUGUAUCUACGGUUACUAGGGGUGUUUGUGGGGUGGUUGAGACUGAUUUUGGUUAAAUUUAAAACUCAAUUCAAUCAAAUUUGAUCGGUUUAGUUUGAUUCGGUUUUCAUAAUUUUUUUAAACCUAACAUAAUUCAUUCAUUAACGGAUUGGGUUAACAAAUUACCCAUUUAAAUUUAAUCUUUUUUUUUCUAGUUAAAACUAUUAUUUAAUAUCAUGAUUCAUUUAAAUAUUCAAUAUAGUUAAUACAAUAUCAAAUAUAUAAAGUAGUAAAAUUGAUUCAUUUAGUAUUAUUAAUAUAAUAUUUUAAAAUAGACUAAUAUAAAUUAAAAUAAAAUAUUCUUACAAUAGUUUGAAUCUAGAUUUGUUGUAACUAGAUUUGUUAAAACAAAUGAACAAAAUAAUUACUAUUAUAAACAUGACAAAAUAAAUAAAUAUUAAAAAAAGAGUUCCAACACUUGAGUCUUAAUAUUAGUCAUAUUUAAAGUCAAAUCAAACAAUUUUAUAAAUUUUGAUCGGAUUUAUAAAUUUAAAUUCAUGACCUAACCAAUACAUGAACGGUUUCCUCAUGACGAUUACCUGACAUAAUCUCUCUCAUGUUGAAUUAAGAAAUUCUACUAAUGAUAUAUAUGACAUUUCAUCUUGACCAAUAUAUUAUAACAAAGAUGAUUGAUAAUAAAUUUAUAGACACUAUUAAGGAUAUAUAAAGAUUAUCUGGAAAGAAUUUCAUGCAAAAAUUAUACUAACUUAUGAUAAAUUUAAUUUUAAAUAAAAAGUGUUUGUAUUUUCCUAACCUACACACUUUAUAAUAUAAAACUGUUAAAUAAAUAUUUAUCUACAAUAGAAAAAAAAUCACUUGAAUUUUAUUUACAACAGAGUUUGGAGAUCAAGUUAUAAAUGUUAAAGAUGAUAUAAAAUAUUCAUUUCAAAGUUAUCAAUGUUACGGAUGGGCUUUAGGCUCAAAAUAAAAUGCUUGAUAGAUUAUAUCAGUUGGAAUUAAAUUAUUAGGUAUUUAGCUUUUAUUUUUAAUUCCCUAAACUAAGAUGAUAAUACGAUAUCAUUAUUAUUAGCAUUUAACUGUCUUUAUCCUUUUGGUAUCAAUGAAAACUGAGUUGUUAUUUUAAAUUCUUCAGUUUUUCUAUAGUCUUUAAUGCUGUUUUCUUAGGAGUAGAAACAGCAUAGCUUCUUGCACUCUAUCAAUGGCGCUUUCAUUUUUUCCACUUAAUUAUCUAUUUGUAAAUAAUUACCUUCUCACUACAAAUUUUUAUUUGAUUUUUAAUAAUAAUAUAUUUUAUUAAAAUUAAAAAAUAAAAUUUUACAUUUUAUAACUUUAAUGAGUUUUUAUUUAGACUUAAAUGCAAUUUAGCUCCUUCUCCUAUUUUUUAAAAUGUUCAAUUUUGGUAAUUCUAUUUUAAAAUAGGCAUUUAACCACCAUAUCUUUUAAAAUAUGCAGUUUUUUUUAAAAUAUGAUAUUAACGUUGACUAUAAUAAAUUAAACAAAUAACCUUAUGUCACAUCACUAAGUUGAAUCACAUCAUUGUUAAUUUCUUAUUUAUUAAUAUUUUUUUAAAUUUAACGGAAGAAUCAAAAUAUGAGGACUAAUUAUUUCUAUUUUAAAAUAAACAGAAUAAAAUUAUAGAUUUUGAAAAAUAAAAACAGCAAAGUUACAUUUAACCCUUAAUUUUAUUAUCCAAGGCAUGAGUGAUAUAUUAGUUCAAGUUAAACGUGUUGUCUAAAAUUACUAAGUACAACCAAAUAAAAUGACACCGCACUUUUUCAUUAAGGAAAAAAAAAAAAAGCAUCGCACUUGCCUGUUCAUACUUUAAAUUACCACUGAAUUGUGAUUGAUAGAAUAAGAAAAUAGUGGUACUGAAAUAAUGAUGAAUAUUUUUACACGCAAAGUG
rnacentral:lncRNA from 1 species